CGAAGAGGCACCUGCUUUUUCAGCCUUGUCAGCACCUGUCACAUGCACACUCAACUUUGCGGAAAUUACAGGCAUUAUGUCGAAGAUUUCUAGUGAAGUAGAAAGCACGUGAAUGUUACUUUUCAAUCGUUCACUUUCCACACGCAACAUCAGCUCACAGGUACCACAUAUAACUUUGCCAAAAAUCUCUGACAAAGUUUAGACACGUGAAGCUUGCAGCUCCCAUUACAUCGCUAUGACCAAGAAGGGUAAAAGAAUAGCAAAGAAACAGCACUAAUAAAGUUUAGACACAUAAAUUUUGAAGGUCUAGCUACCAUAUUAUUACCCACAACGGUAAAGGAACAUGACCAUUGCUAGAUAAUUGGAAAGUCCCUGUGGGUCAACCUCUGUGCUCCGUGGCAAGGUAGACUAGCAAACAGGCCUAACCUUUACUCACAUUCAAGAAAACACUCCCAACAAGAUUGCUUACUUCAAGAUCGAAGAGGCACCGUCCUCCGAAUCUCGAGAGCCAGACUCCCAACAUGAUUACUUUCUCAAAAAGCGACGAGACACCGCUCUCCGAAUCUCGAGAGCCAGACUCCUAGCAGGAUUGCUUUCUCAAAAAUCGAAGAGGCACCGUUCUCCGAAUCUCGAGAAACAGAUCCCCGACAGGAUUGCUUGUUCGAAAACCGAAGAGGCACCGCUUUCUCAACUUCGAGAGCCAGAUCUCCUUGGAUAAAGCUUGUCUGUAAUCUUCACACGUAACAUCAGCUUUCCAGAUACCACAGACCACUUUUUCAAAGUGCUCUGACAGAGUUAAAACAUGUGAAGCUGGCAGCUCCCACUACCGUGCUAUGACCAAGCAGGGUAAAAGAAUAGUAUUACUCCUUGUUGUUAGGGAGACUUCUAUAUAUGUCGACCUCCAUUCUCAACGGACAGGCAGACCUGCAAAAAUGCUCAACCCUUCCUCAUAUCUGAGAGGGCACUCCCAACGAAGCCUCUCGAAAUACUCAGCUUUCUUUCCCCCCGAGAAUACCUCUGCAAACAAGCUACACUAGAGCAAGAAUAUCUCAUAUCAUCAGGGUUAAAAGCAAGAGUAUCUCAUAUCAUGCUUUUUCCCUGUCUUUUCCUUUGGCCUUAUUCUUACCUGCAAGACAAGGAGAAAGAGAGCAAUCAGUCAGCACUUGGAAUCAAGCUUCCAGUCCGGAACUGACUGCCUAGGAACCCCCAUUGCUCUCGAGUACUCAUCUUCAACAUCUUAUGCUUCCCGAGAAGAUACCACAUCUGCCUGAGGAACAAAUAGGGCAAGUGAGAAGGAUACAAGGAAGCAUGUGGAGACAAGCGCAACAGAACAUGUGCCGAUACAUCCACUACUUUGUCAACAGCAAAAGUAUCCCAUAUCAGCAGGGUCGAACGUACUCUAGAUUUGAUGGACUUGUUUUGACCCUAAAAUUCUUCAGGCGGCCUUAUACUCUGCGGGAAACAAGAAAACCCUCCAGCCCAGUUCAAGAAUAAGCCUGUGGAAAGUUACUUCUUCAAAAGCAAAAGUAUCUCAUAUCACAUUUUCUCCUUUUCUUUUCUCUUUAUCCUUCAUGCUACCUGCAAGAUAAGGAGAAUGAUAACAAUCCGCCGGAACUCGAAAUCAAACUUCUGAUCUGAGACUGAUUGCUUGGAGCUCUGAUUGCUUACCUUGUCUGUCACCUCUUUCAGCAGAUCCCCUAGCUCGGCGACUUGGGGACUCCUACUACAUGGUUUGUAUCGCGCUUGACCAAGCCUGAAACUACAAGUAAGCGUCAAGUGAAAUUGAUACAUUACCUUGUGCAUCUCCACCAGUUAAAGAUACCACCCCUGGAGGGAGGAAGAGUACUUCCAAAGAAGAUGCCACAUCUACCUAUGAGACAGAUAAGGCAAGUGAAGACGAUACCACACUUCGGUACUUAAAAGUUUCGUGAUUACGAGAUCAUUCUUCCACAAUAUUUCCUAAUGUCAUUUGUACUAAAUCAUUCACUUGUACUCACUAAAGGAGAGCUUGAACCUAUAUACUGUGUAAACCCUUCACAAUUAAUGAGAACUCCUUUACUCCGUGGACGUAGCCAAUCUGGGUGAACCACGUACAUCUUGUGUUUGCUUCCUAUCUCUAUCCAUUUACAUACUUAUCCACACUAAUAACCGAAGCAAUCUAGCGAAGAUCACAAACUUAAUAUUUAAGAUGAUAUUCUUUGGUGUAUGUUUUUCGCAAACGAUAUAGUGUUGAUAGAUGAAACGCAGGAAGGGGUAAGCGCGAAGCUUAACCUUUGGAGAAAAGUGUUGGAAUCUAAAGGUCCUCGCCUAAGCCGAUCAAAGACAGAAUAUAUGGAGUGCAAGUUCAGUGCAAACGGAGGCCAAAAUGAGUUAGGGGUGAGGAUCGGAGAUCAGGAAAUACCAAAGAGCGACCGUUUUCGCUACCUAUGAUCUAUCUUGCAAAAGAACGGAGAAUUUGAUGGAGAUCUCACCCAUAGAAUACAAGCUGGAUUGAUGAAGUGGAAGAGUGCAUCUGGCGUGUUGUGUGACCGUCGUAGGCCACUGAAGCCCAAAGGAAAAUUUUAUAGGACGGCAAUAAGGCCGGCAAUGUUGUAUGGCAUAAAAUGUUGGACGGUGAAGCAUCAACACGUAGGUGUAGUGGAGAUGAGGAUGCUUCGUUGGAUGUGUGGGCACACGAGAAAAGAUAAGAUUAGGAAUGAGGAUAUCCGAGGUAAAGUAGGAGUAGCCGAAAUUGAAGGAAAGAGGAGAGAAAAUCGGUUACGGUGGUUUGGACAUAUGCAAAGAAGGCCUACUGACGCUCCGGUUCGAAGAUUUGACCACGGGACAGAGGUUCAGGGCCGAAGGGGUAGAGGAAGACCUAGGAAAACUUUGGAAGAGACCCUAAGAAAAGACUUAGAGUACUUGGAUAUAACGGAGGACAUGACACAAAACCGAGCGCAAUGGCGUUCUAGGAUUCAUAUAGCCGACCCCACUUAGUGGGAAAAGGCCUUGUUGUUGUUGUUGUUGUUGUUGUUGUAAAUGGAAGACCAUGUAAGGAGAAAGCCGCCAGCACUAUUGUGUAGCUAUCCAAUAUUAAAUUCUCAAUAUCUCAUUAUGUGACUGAGCCUAAUCCCGUUAAAUUAUUGUCGUAUAAAAAGAAUUACAAGAUAUUCCCUAGUUUUGACUUUUAAAGGGUGAACUAGACAUGAAAAUUGCAAAAUUGGAUUAAAAAAGAGAGCUAUAAAUACAAAACAAAAUUACAAAAAGAAGAUAAUUGUCGUAUAAUGUCAGAAGUGGGAUUUGAACCCACGCCCUCUUUCGAAGACCAGAACUUGAGUCUGGCGCCUUAGACCACUCGGCCAUCCUGACAUAUUGUUUUGAGAUCUCUUUACUUUAUUUUAUUUCAAAUGCAUUGCAUUUAAAAUAACAAAAAAAUAAAAAAAGAAAGGACGACGACGACUCUGCUGGGGAUCGAACCCAGAAUCUCUGGUUUCGUAGACCAGCGCCUUAUCCAUUGGGCCACAGAGUCGCUUGUUGAUGUUUGUGGUUUGUCCUAGUGAUUUAUCACUUCGUAACUUGGCCAUUAUUUUAUCUUUAUCGUUAAAACUCAAAGUUUUUAAACCCUUUUCAUUAGUUUUCCUUUAAAAAUAACUUUAAAAUGAUUGUGAAUUGCGUAUUUCUUAAUACUUUUAUUGAAGAAUAACCUAAUCGUCAAAAAAUUAUUGGGAAUCACGUAUUUCUUAAUACUUUCAUUGAAAAAUAGCUUAAUCAUCCAUUCAUGUUGUAAUAUGUGAAAACAAACACAACAUGACACGACCAACACAUGUUAUAAUGUAUGAACAAAACAAACAUCGGAUGACAUUGUUCUAACAAUCUUUCCAAUUUCAUACAACCUACUAAUUAGAGUCUUAAAAAUAAUAAUGUUAUUUGAACCACAUUUAUUCAUUUUACCCUUUAUUUUGUCUUUAUCAUUAAAACUCAAAUUUUUCAAAUCAUUUUCAUUAGUUUUCCUUUAAAAAUAACUUAAAAAUUAUUGUGAAUUGCGUAUUUCUUAAAACUUUUAUUGAAGAAUAACCUAAUUGUCAAAAAUUUAUUAUGAAUCACGUAUUUCUAAAUACUUUCAUUGAAAAAUAGCUUAAUCAUCCAUUCAUAUUGUAAUACGUGAAAACAAACACAAACAUGACACGACCAACACAUGUUAUAAUGUUAUAAUGGCACCAACACAUCUUUCCAAUUUCAUGCAACCUACUAAUCAGAGUCUUAAAAAAAAUAAUGUUAUUUGAACCACAUUUAUUCCAUAAAACAAAGAAAGUAAUUAAUUGUAAAGUAAUUAAAUGUACGUAACUAAGAAAAGAUAAAACUAUUUAAACCACAUUUACUUACUAAUCACCUCCCUAAUAUGGUGAGAGUGAUCCAAACAAGUACUAGUCCAUUGCAUGCACGAAAAACAUAAACAUUUGCUCUACGUGUCACAUACACUUUUAUACAAGUGACACAUCGAAAGUUCAAAACCUAUGCCUCGUCGCCACCUUUCACCGCCACCACUGUCUCGUCCUCCUCCGCCUCCUCUCUCACACUAAACGACAAAGACUCCCUCCUUAUCAAGAACCUCCCCGUCGGCGGCACCCACAGGUUCAGCAGCCCGUGGGGCCUACCCGACGGCCUCCACACCUGCACCGUCAUGCACUGUAUCGGAUUAUCCGCCGGCUCCCGUGCGUCCCCGCCCUUCAAAACGUCGCACAGCAGCACCCGCGCGCUCCCCACCGGCUUCUCCCUCACGAGCCCGUGCGCGUAGAUAUCAACGUUCAGCGCUGCCAGCACGUCGUUCUCCAGCAAGUCUUCCCGGAACUUCACUUUGACGACCUCGUUCCACAUGGGGUUGGUCCCGCCGUGCUCGUCCACGCUCGUCCUGGCCGCGUGGUAGUCCUUCUCCACGUACACCACCGCGUACGCCCUCACUUGCGUCACGUGCUUCACGUUCUUCAGGUCCUGCGCCGAGAUUAUCAGCACUUCUAUUUCUCGGAACUUCGUCGUCGCCGCCGGCACCGCUCGCAGAUAUUUCGGCACCUUACUCAUUUCUGUUCUAAAUUUCUAAUCAAGUUGAGAGAGAUGAGAGAGGGAGUGGAGAGACUCCUCUUGCAAUUAAUUUGUAGUUACAUUGGCGUUAUUUUUAAUAAAUAUUUGACACGUUAAAACAAAAUUAUCCGUUUAAUAAACGCCAAAGGAUGUACAUUGAAAUUGAAGUGGUCCAGGAUUAUUCGAAGUUUGAAAAAUAUACAUGUGAAGGUUAAAGAUAUUUUUAAUGUUUAGUACGAGUUCUUUUUAUGCCUACCAAGUAUUUGAUAGGCAUAACGUAUUGGGUUGACAAUGCUCGAUAUAAAUUCUCUCGAUAUUACUCAUCAGAUUGCUCAACAUUUUGUUGAAAUUUGUUGAUAUGUGCGCAACAUCGUUUGGCUGACGACAACAAGCUAACUAAAUAUUCAAAGAAUACCUGAGUGAAUAAACUAAAAUUUUUUUGCAUGCUUCCCGCUCUAAAUCCGCCACUGCUUGACGCAUGAUGAGAGCAUUUGUGUUUGUGCUAAAAAAGAAUUUAAUAUCUUUAAUAAUAUUCUAAACCAAUCACGCACUAUUACAAAAAUGCGUAACUUGUUUCUCUGGAUGAGUUAUGUUUCUCUCCUCUCCAUUAUGUGGGUCUCAAAUUUGAAGGGUCCAACUUCUAUCUUCCAUUGUGAGCUUCAAUUUUGAAAGGCCCAAUGUGUAGAGCAAUCCAAUGACCUCAAUAUUCAAUAAUUCGUGGACAGCACAUUGCCCACAAACCUCGAAAGCUCACAUGCAUGCCACUAAAAAUGAUUCAAAUAUUCCAAGUAAUUGCCUGUAAAGAGAUUAUAUUCUCCUAACCUUGCAAUUUUAAACACAGGCCACACCACUCCCAAAUCAUUUUGUUUGCGGUUAAAGUAACAUAAUUUGACAGGUGUGAAGCUCCCAUUUGCUCAGCUCCUUAAUCCCCUACCUAUAAAACCCACUUAAGCUUCCUCAUUUUCCUCAAACCAAAAGCAUUAGCACACUUCUUCCACUUGUGACUUGAGAAUUAGUAUCAGAAGAAGAAGAAAAUAUGGAGGGGUGCAAAAUGGCCAUGGUUUUCACCAUCUGCAUGAUUGUUCUUGUGAGCUUCGCGUCGCUCGGAGCUGCUGAAGAUGUUGGUGUUCCUGCACCUGCACCGAUGGAGAGCGCCGCAGCUGCUCUAGGUGUUCCUGCUGCUGCACUAGGAGCCAUGGCUUCUUUGCUGGCCUUCUUGUUUUAAACUUGUUCAUUUAAGUUCCCCAUCAUGUUUUUUUCCUUGCUUAUUUUCUUUUGGAAGUGAUGUUCAAUUUCUUAUGAUUAAUUAAAUUUGGUUUCAAGAAAUCAAGAGAAUUCUUCAUAAUUUAGUUUCAAUUCUUUCAUAUAACCAAAUAUAGGCAAAGCAACAUAGUAAUCUGGUUCCGGAAUGAAACUGAGUGAGUGAAAGAUCACCGUUGCUUGAUGGAACCGAAAAGAUCCUCAUAAGAACGCUUAGGGGCAUCAGGCCGCGAAACUAUCUCCACAACCUUGUAAGACGCUUCAGGAUUCCGUAAUGCCUCUACAGCCACUUCUGCAACCAGGUCUCUAGAGAUGCUGCCUUCCGAAAGAGUGUCCUAUCAAGAGGGAUCAUAGGCAACAUCACGUUAAGGCAGCUCGGGUUUUCGUACUUAACAAGAUUAAAUGGGGAGAGUUCUCAAAGUGUGACAAAAAUUGUGUUACCUCUGGCUCCAUUACAAGAUUUCCGGUUGGAGGGUCGUUUCUCAACCCACCGGGCCUUAUAAUCGUGUAGUUUAUGCCAGACUUCCUGAUAUAAUUCUCUGCCUGAAGCUUUGCUAUUAAGGUGAGCCCAAAAACAUUGAGGAAGAUGUAAGCUGGGUUGAGAAUCUGCCCCAUUGCUGCUCCAUUGACCAAGAUGGAACUCACAAGAAUAAACCGGUUCACACCAAGUUUACGGCAUGCUUCAACAAGGUUUACUGUGCCAAAAUUAUCAACCUGCACUAAAAUAAACCAUUUUCAGACAUCAAAACAUGUUCGAAUAACGAAUGUUCUUUCCAUUACAACCUGGACUAAAAUUAUCUUAUUUCAGAUAGCAGAACACGGGGCUAGCCGCUUUCUAGUGUGCAUAUACAGAACCAUCAAAUAUUUCGUGCCAUUCGAGUUGCAUUAUGUACUGAAGCCAAGAAAAAGUAUGAAUUCAUUUCCCACUCGAUGUUCGAAUAAUGAUAGUUCUUUACAUUACUAGCCAAAGGCUAAAACUCAGGAUUUUAAAGGCAUGAAUUUGAAGCAUCACUCAUUUGCUAAAGUAAAACUCAAACAAGAAACUACUUAAAGAUUUAACUUAAUCAAACACCAAUCGAAAAUCAACGGUGGACUACACAAAGAUAGAAGUAGUAUUAAGAUUACAGAAAGAUGGACUACUGAUCAACGCCGAUACCAUCCCCAACUCAAUCACUUGCACAGUCUAGCAGGCAUAGGGUUUUAUACAAAAGGCCUCGAUGCAAUUAGCUGAACCACUCGUUAAUAUAUAGUCUAUUUUUCGUUUGCCAGGUUUCUGAUGUGGGAAGUUUACAUUUUUUCAACAAGUUGCUUCACAAAGUAAUAGAAAUAGAUGUUAAUUGCACAGAUAAAAGAAUCAAGGUGACCUUCCAUGGAGCAAACACAUCCCAUCCGUAGCUAAAUCCAGUGGCACAAAUCACAGCUUCUGAAUCAUCACUUAUCACUUCUGCUAACUUAGCAGAACCAUCUGUCACAUCUGCCUUCACCUGAACAUUCGCAAGAAAUCGUUUCAUCGAGGACCCGAAAAAAUUAAACAUUCUCCAAAAAAAAAAACACAAAACGAAAAACCCAAUUGAGUUCCCAGCAUGAAUCAAUACCAGCACUUGAAAUUCUGAAGAAACUCACAAUUUGAAGAGCUGGGUUGUCUGAGGGAAGGCUAGCUUUCGCUUUCUCCAAGUUCCGAACUCCGGCUUUAACUGAGAAACCCUUGGCCAGCAGCUGCUCAACAAUUCUUUUACCAGUAUUUCCAGUGGCACCAGCCACAAAUAUUUUCUUCUUCCCAAUCACAUUGGUCUCAGUUGAACUUAUCUCUGUAACUUCCUCUGUAAUUUCACCCCCUUCCAUCUAAACCAGAGAUUGACAUGUUAAUAGUUAAAAACUAACAUUAAUGGCAUUGGGGAGAGAGAGAGAGAGAGAGGGAGACCUGAGCGGACUUUAGGAUGGGAAAGGACCUGGUGUUGGAGGAGGAGAAGGAAACCAGAGAGAAGGGUUUGAUGGUGGUGGUGGAAAGAGGAGGGAGGAGGCGGUGAGUGCAGAGACGGUGAGGAGGGUUUCUGAGAAGGAGAGGCAGAGGAGUUGCCAUUUGCUUUAUCUUGCUCCCUUGAAACUUCUACUUAUUUCUUGUCCUCCAAGUCCAACCAACAGCGAGACCCUGUCCUGUCUUGGCUUCCCAUUUGCUGUGUGCGACUCUGGGUGGGCAGCUUCCACAUCAGUGUUUCUAGGGCCCCUUUCCUCCCUUUAUUGGGGUUUUUCUUUUGCCUUCUUACUGGAGAUAUUUUUCACUGCUGCGACGGAAACACAGGAUGAUACACUAUAUGUCAUUAUACAAAUGGUAAGAUAUGUGUGUUAAAAAAUUAAUAACUUAAAAUAUAAAAUUUUGCAUCACUUGUAUAAAAACACAUAGUGUACCAAUCGUGUUACAAUCAUAAUAAAAAAUUUCGCUUCUUAUUGAGUUGGCUAUGGACGUCUGUUCUUUUUUUAGGUAUGUUUAUAAAGACGAUUUGAAUUUUAGUUGUGCAAGUUAAGGAUUUAAGUUGAGGAUGUCCUUAACUUCAUCCUAUUUCUAUUUCUAGGGUGUUGUUUGACGAUCGAAAUCGUUUAGUUGAAAGAUUUUCAUUCAAGCAUUACCGAUGCAAAGAAUCGAAUAAAUCAACAUUUUUUUAGCCAUUCAAUUGUUCGUAAUUUCAUUUCAAUUUUAUCUAACGAACCAUGGUUUUUAUGCUCGUUUAAGAGGACCGAACAUGUUCAGAUUUGGAUGAUUUUUUUUGCAAGGAUGAUCUUUGAAUGAGGUGCUAAAAUGUAGACCGUUCUGAUCAUUGAAGAUAUUACGGAGAGCCUUAAGAAAUAUAAGGACAUGAGUAAUAGGGUCAUCAUAACAUAUCUGCAUUAAUUUUGAUCAAGCAUGCUAUCUGCAAUCUCAGAAUCAGAAGGCUUCUAAACUAAAACUUCUGUGGAACCAAACUGAUCAGAGGUCACCGGCGAGCGAUUGAACUAAAAAGUUCGCCACAUGAACGCUGGGGGCGUCAGGCGGCGAAACUAUUUCUACAACCUUGUAAGAUGCUUCAGGGCGGAUUAGUGCCGCAACUGCUACUUCUGCAACCUGAUCUCUUGAGAUUGUGCCUUGAUAAAGAGUGUCCUAUACCAAGAGAGAGCAGAGAUAGAACAUAGAAUUUGAAGCAACGACUAAGGUUUUAGUACGGAAACAAGACUAAAUGAGAAAGAACAUAAAGGCUGAUGAAAAUUAUGUUAACAUACCGCUGACUCCAUCACAAGAUUUCCAGUUGGAGGCUCGUCUCUCAACCCGCCAGGCCUGAUUAUCGUAUAGUUUAUGCCCGACUCCCUAACAUAUUGUUCUGCGCGAAGCUUUGCUAUCAAGGCGAGUCCAAAAACAUUAAGAUAGAUGUAAGCCGGAUUGAGAAUCUGGCCCAUUGCUGCUCCAUUGACUAAAAUGGAACUCACAAGGAUAAACCUAGUCACACCAAGUUUCCGGCAUGCCUCUACAAGGUUGAUUGUGCCCAAAUUAUCAACCUGCAGUGAAUUUACCUCUUUCAGAACGCCGGCUAAUGUUAUGCGUUCAUAAAUCAGUGGAAAACCAAGUAUGCGCAACGUAAAGAUUUUGCUUCAUAAGCAGAAUGGAGAUAAAGGUCGACUGCAUAAAUAGAGAAUCCAAGUGACCUUCCAAGGAGCAUACAAAUUCCAUCCAGGGCGACAUCCCGUGGCACAUAUCACAGCUUCUGAAUCAUUGCUUAUCGCAUCUGCUAGCUUCGCAGAACCCUCUGUCACGUCUGCUUUCACCUACAAAAAAAAAUGCAAGUCAUUCUUUCAUCCAAAACCCCAUACAUUAAGCAUUCCCAAAAACAGCAGAGACCCGAUUGAGUUUCUAGCAUGAGGCCUGCACUUGAAAUAUUUGAAGAAACUCACGAUUUCAAGAGCUGGGUUGUCUUGGGGAAGGCUAGUUUUCGCUUUGUCCAGGUCUCGAACUCCAGCUUUAACCCGAAAACCUUUAGCCAGUAGGUGCUCAACGAUUCUUCUGCCGGUACUUCCAGUAGCACCUGCCACAAAAAUCUUCUUUUUCCCGAUGGCACUCCACUUGAUUUCGUUGCGCUAAUGUAAGGUGUUUGAUUUGUAGUGUUAUUCAAUGCUCGUUGCGCUAAUGUGGCCAUCGCCCUCACUUGUUUAGUAUCCCAUCAGCUCAUGAAUAUUAUGCAAUAGAUUAUCCAACAUCCAUAAAAAAAUUAAAAAAAUAAAAAUUAUGCAAAUAAAAACAGAUUACAUUAAUAAAAACCAGAUUCUUAAUUCAAGGUCUAAGAACUACAGACAACAAGAUACACGAGGCCAACACAGAAGGUUAAAUCAGUAUUCCCCUCCAGAGAUGCGCAACGGGUCAAAUCUGUUGCCAAAUUUUGCUCUCCCUGGAAUUCAAGACUUGGAAGUGAUGCAAAUCCAUCUCAGCAACAUACAUUCCUAGCAUUACAUAUUGCAGGUGAUCCUUUACCAACUCAUGAUAUUAUGAACACUGUUCCACCAUCUACCAUCACUAUGUUUCUCUUUCGGAGUUCCUGAACAUAAUCAAGUUCGUGAGUUAAUGCUUAUCCUUCCGCAAAAAUACUAGCUCGAAAAAUAAUAAUAGGAAGAACUAAAAAGUCAAUGAUUUUGGUACAGAGAUUGCAAGAUGCUCGUCCAGUAUGUCUUCCGUGAAUUUAAUGAAAAUUUACCUCUAAUAGGAAGGUUAUCUCUGUACUUGAGUAAGGAACACUUGCUCCGUCAUUGACAGCAUUCUCUAAGGCCUCAACAGAUAUGCUGUCGGAGCGCUGUACUGUACGUACUUGAUUUAAAACAUCAGUAAGUGCUUUUAACCUGCUGGUGCAGAAGGAAUAAAGAAAUUGAAUUGGCAUUAGACACAAUUGAACCAGAUGUGAAUUAAACAAACUAGAAAAAAGAAGAGCAACUUGGGUUGGUGCUACUAGGCAGAACCUUUCGGAAGAGUUAUCAGCAGCAGCAGAUUCAGUGUGAGGGUCGACAUCCAUGGGUUCAGUUGUUGAACUAACACAGGCAAAACAAGAGAAAACAAGUUAAAUGACUGUCGUGAAUUUGAGAGCACAGAUAACAUCAAUUUAUGGAUACAGGCAGUUUCUGCAAAGUACACUUACCCUUCAUUCCCAGUACCAUUGCCAGACCCAUUAUCUUGACCUGCGGGAUGGUUAGCUCUGCCGUUCCUCUCCAAUUCUCGCUCUCUUUCUUGCUCGCGCUCCUCCAUGUCAGUCAAUUCUUUGUGAUAAAUUGCAAAAUUUAAAACUUUGAGAGCAGCGUCAACAUCUGACUUUGAAACCUGUUAAGGUAGAUUUAUCAUUACUUUUGAGUUUGAUGAAUGUUACAAUUGACAGUCACAGAACACAUAAACUGAUGAAGAAACCAUAGUUUUGAUUCCACAAAUAAAUGAAAGAGCAGAAUGAACGUGUCCCGUUUGGACUUUAUUAAUCAUUAAAGUUGACAAGGUACCUUUCUGCUCAACUUUAAUUUUGCAUGAGCAGUUGAGAGACGAAUGAUGGUUUCUAAUGUUCUGGCGGUGAUUGGAAGUGUUCCUCCAGUCUGAAUAACAAAAAUGAUAUCAGAUUAUAGUCAGAAAGUCAUUGCAUUGACCAUGCCUAAAUAUACAAUGAUGACAAAUGCUGACCUUUGCAUUUGAACUGGCAUUUCUGAGUUCUGCAUACGCUGUUGCAAUUUGUUCAGAGGCCUGUGGAAAAAAAAAUUGUUAUUAGCCAUCAGACAGAUUCAUAAUGCACUGACCAGGUCAGGAAGACAAGUUCAUAAACUAACUGAAAAGGCUCUCCACAAGAAAGAUAUUAUAUGGCAGAUUGCACAAGUAAGAUUCUAAGAUAAGCAACAAAUGACGUGACCGAGGGAAAACAUACGUAUAUUAUUGAGUAUAUAAAUCAUCAAAUAAAGAACCAGUACCUCAUCAGUCAGAUCAGGCUCAAUCCUAUUCUUUGCAUAAUGAAUAUACUUUUUAAGAAACUUGAUUGUGAGCGUAUCACGCUUUCGACCCCUAUCAGUUUUUUUCCCAUGUAGCAUUCGGUUAUACUUAACAAACACAGAUGAGUCAUUAUCAGUUUCAUCUUCUCUUCCAAAAGCCGAGCUCCCAUCAAGCAUUGCCUCACCUACACUUAUAAAUUAGUGAAACUUAUUUUGUACUUCUCAAAGAUCAUAAAACAUAAACAGGAGAUUUCUGCUUUAGUACCUCCAGUUGCAGAACGAUACCGAUGCAUGCGCAACACAUGCUCUGAGACUUGACGGUCAAUGUCAGGGUCCAUUUGAUCCAAUACGAUAAACAGUAAAUCAAAACGAGAGAGCAAAGAGUCUGGAAGUCCAAUAUUCUUUGUUGGUGUCAAUGAGCGAUCAUACUGCAUGAUUAUUAAAAAAACCAGCGUUAAAAAAAUUUGACUAAAUUACUUAAAUAAAAAAAACGCGACAGUCAGAACAACAAAUUGCAAAUAUGUUAUCAAAUGGUUGAUGACCAUUAGCUGUGUCACUUACAGAACCAUAUAUGGGAUUUGCAGCAGCCACCACACUGCACCGUGCAUUGAGGGAUGCAUGGAUACCAGCUUUGGCAAUUGUUACAGUCUGCUGCUCCAUAACUUCAUGUAUGGCAACACGAUCUUGAUCAUUCAUUUUGUCAAAUUCAUCAAUACAGACAACACCACGAUCAGCAAGAACCAUCGCACCAGCUUCUAGCCUUCUCUCCCCUGAUAACAGACAGAUUUGUAUCUUCCUCGUAAUAACAUCAUAUAAUGCAAAAGUUGAACUGCAAGAGAUGGAAUAUGUUAUUACCCGUCUCUUGAUCCGAAGUAACAGCAGCUGUCAAACCAACACCAGAAGAACCCCGGCCUGUAGUUGAUAUUGCCAAUGGAGCGAUGUUCAUAAUUGCUCUUAGAAGUUGAGAUUUGGCAACAGAAGGAUCACCAACCAUCAUCAUGUUAAUGUCACUAAAAGAAAAGAAAAGACAUUUGUGAUCAAGAUUCAAUUUUGUCUAGAGGAACACUUAGGCAGGGCCUUAGAAAAGAAGGGACUAGAUAGAUAAGCAUUAUUAGGAUGGUAAAAUCCCCGGAAAAUUUUGAAUCAUAACUUACCCUCGUAAGUGAGUACCAUUCCUUAAGUUCUUUUCCAUUCCACCAAGCAUUAGCAAUAUUACUGCUUUCUUUAUCCAUGAAUGUCCAUAAAUAGAGGGUGCAAUUGAAUUCCCAAGCAGGUCAAAUGUAUCACUUCUUUCUGCUAUCUUUUUUAUGUUCUUUAUGUCAUCAGGACUGUAAAUUGGUGCAUUUGCUUCUUUGUUGAGCAGCGAAACGCUGUUCGCUAUGAGAACAGUCCUACACAAACAAGGCCAUUAAGUCUAAGUAUUAAACUAGAAUACAUUAUUGUUUAAACAAGAUAAGAACUUUUGCACUCCUCGUGGUUGAAGCUACCUGAAUACUCCAUUCACGCUUCCCUUGCUUUUACCAGGAAGAGCUUUGUAAAUCCCUACAAUCGCCACACGGUCUCCUGGUUUGCAUGAAUCAACGAGGUCAUCCUCAACUAUGACAUCCACUGUCCGCGGAAGCUGACCAGGAGCAGAGUUCUCAGGAACUUCUUGCAUAGAUAAAGUUUGAUGAUCUUUGUAUUUGCAUAGUCCAUACUCAGUCACCAAUAAGUUACCAUUUUCGUCCUGUGGCAAUAUAUUUUCAUAAAAAGUCCCUUCUCCAACGAUAAAAUAAGAUACAAUUAAAGCGAAAACUUGAGAUUACCCUAGUAGGAUAAACUGCUCCCGUAGGCAAACCCAUAUUGGAUGUAAUGUCUCGGUAUUCUCGAGAGGUGAAGUUUCCGGUACUAGGGCAGAAGUGAACACUCUUAACAACUUUUGGCCUCACAAGAGAACCUACAAAUGAGUUAGUUACCAGGUUAGACUCACCCAUAGCCAACAUUCCCAACAAAAACAUAUUGAUAUGUUUCACUAGCUGAACUGAAAGCUAAGCAAACGAAGAAUCUUAGGGUUUAUGAUUUUCUAGUCUAAAUCAACACCACUAACCUUGAAUUCCCCAUAAAAUUGUUUCUUUUAUUUACGUUUUUCCUCAAAUUUUAAUCAAGAAUGGCCAUUUCCGAGACGUAAAUCGAGCAUGAAAUGAAAGCAAAAGUAGAGGGCAGGGGAGGAAGAAGGUACAUUUGGUGACAAUGCCCUGGACGCAAACCAUGGAACCAAUGUACUCGGAGAGCAGAUCUCUCGGCGUGACACGGCGCGAGACGAAAGCACCUUCAAACCCCACCAGAAGUUGUUCUCCUUGCUUCAGGUACCUCGGGUCGAUCCUGUUGGCGAUUUCAGUGGCCGCGUCGUUGAAGGAUUGCAUAUAAUCACUUGGAUUUCUCAGAAUCCUGAAAAUUGAAAACCGAAGGCAAAAUUACACUAGGAUUCUUCUGAAAUCAAUUUGGCGAUAGUAGAAGUUGAGCAAAGCUAGCUGUGAGGAGUUUGGUUGGUGAGAAAAUUGAAUGAACCUGGAGCCAAUUUCGCCGUAGGAGUGGAGAUCGGAGAUGUCGACGAUGAGGCGACGGCGGUUGUGGUUGAGGACGGCCUUGAUUUCGUCCAUGUAUAUCUGUGCAAUACUUUAACUAGUUAGAGAGAGAAAGCAAGAGAGUUGGAGAAAGAGAGAGAGAGGAUGAGGAUGAGGAGGAGGAGGAGGAGGAGGACAUACGCCAUCUUCCAAGAAAGCAAGGAGCUCUCGGCGGUGAUUUGCCCUAACUUCUUCGCUGAUGUCCAUUUCGCUUCGCGCUCGAGUUCUGCAGAGAAGAGAAGAGAAGAUCGGCGACGACGGCGAUUGAGAGUUUGAGAUGGCGAGCGACUGCUCAGUGCUAUCGAAUCCCCUUUUCUCAGUCUAGGGCUAUUUAUUUUGGCGGGAAAAUGAUGGAGCUUUACCCUUCCUUUGGCGCCAAUAUCAUCAUCCCAUGCCACGCUGUCGCUUCCCCUUUUUUUUUCUUCUGAAAUAUUUUUUCAAUUUUACCUGACUAUUAAUUAUAUGGUCAUUAUAUUUCUCUUUCCAUACGUAAUGGAAUAAGAGUUUCCUCAUUCUUUGUGCACGGGAAAUUUUUUCUUAUACCCGUAAUAUAAGUGGUAUAUUAUGUGUUAUUAUAUAAUUGAUGAAAAUUUUUAUUUUGUAUGCUGUUAACUUUUCAACAAAUGAAUCUCACUACUUGUAUAGAAACACAUGAUGUAUCAUCCUAUGUUUCAGACGCAUUAAAAAAUUUCUCAUCGUGCGCAUGAUUCGGAUGGAUAGUGUAAUGAUCAUAUAUUAAUAUAAAAAAUGUAUCAACAUUUCACUAUUAAUAUGACAGGAAUACGUCGUCAAUACAGGUGAUGCACAAAUCAUUCACACAACCCAACUUCGAGGAAUGAAAAAGAUUAUUCAAAAGCUUCUGAGUUCUAGAAGUUUUAUUUUUUGGUCAAAUGAUAAUUUUGAUUAAAUUAUAAUAUAAACGUCUACAUCUUCAACAAGAAUAUUAAAUAAAAACUUCAGACCAAGAGCAUCUUAACAGAAAGCACCUUCGCAAGGUAACAUAUGAGGCUACAGCAUAAGCAGCGGCAUUUUCAUUCCUCUUGACAAACACAAACCUCACCCCUCCUAAUUGUCGUCAUCCAACUUGAAGGUUACACAAGCUGCUAAUACAAAAUAUGCAGAGAGGCAAAUCCACGCAUAAGUCUUCAUGAUAUGGUAACGGGAGGACAAUUCGAAUUUCAAAUUUAGAUGCGUAGGGGAGAGCACACUGCUCUAGCAAAUUGGGCGAAACUUGGCUACACCCACGUCUGCGUUGCCUCUAUCUAUAUUAGUCACACUUCUUACUAACCAUCAGAUAAUUUGAAGAAAGAUAAAAAAAUAUAACAUUCUAGUUUUCCUCACAGAACCAGGUAUCUAAAAACGACUUGCGUCCAUAAAAAAAGAACAUUUCUGAAUCAUUACAAAACUACAGAUGGACUCAAAUGUAAACUGAUGAAGCUUGCCUCCGAAAUAAAUUAUGAUCUCCUCUAAGCAUCGUUGAUGUACUACAAAACUUGAACGCAAGUCGGAUGAUCAGGGCUUGAACGCAGAGAAGGCGACGACAGAGUUAUGUCCACCAAAUCCAAAUGAAUUCGAUAUGGCUGAAAAAACACACGAAAGUUUAUUUGAACGGUAUUUGAGCAAUUGGAAAUGUAAAGGCACUGGGAGUUUCAAGGUUUGGCCUUCUUACCAACAUUCACUUCAUGCUGCUGCUUUACAUUGGGAACAGUGUCAAACUCCACUGAAGGCUCUGGGUUCUGUUUCAUAAAGGACAUGCCACACAUCGGAAACCAUUACUAUAAUGUUUCAAAUACGAGAGAUCAAACUACCGCUAUGCUGUAGAAACCAAGUCCAAAAUCAUAGCAACAAUAACAUACAAAUUGGUUUAUGGAAGGAUGCAGCCAUCCAGUUGUUAUGGCUUUAAUGACAGCAAUAGCUUCCAAACCCCCAGAAGCACCAAGACAGUGGCCUAUCAUAGACUGAAACAAAGUAAAGGCAAGAAAAACGUAGUCAGGAAAGAAACAUCAUAUGAAUUAUAGAGACAGAGGAUCAGAGAAGAGAGAUUGCCUUAGUUGCAUUGAUCUUGAUAUCUUUAGUGUUCGUGAACACCUUCUUUAUAGCAUUUAUCUCGGCAAGGUCACCAGCAAGGGUAGAAGUUGCAUGCGCAUUGAUGUAGUUAACCUGAUAAAGUGAGGGAGUUCACUAAAUGAUGAUGAGGAACAAUCACUAUAUAACACAAGAAAGGUUUACGGAAAAGAGAGAAUACCUCCUCAGGUGACACACCAGCAUCUUCAAGGCAUCUCUGUAUGCAUGUAGAUACACCAAGCCCAUCAGCUCUUGGAUCAGUCAUAUGAUACGCAUCACAGUUAAUACCACCUCCCAAGUACUCGGCAAUAAUUGUAGCACCUCGUUUUGUUGCAUGUUCCAAGCUCUCCAUUACCUGUCAAAACAAAUACCCUUCUUAUGUUAUGAUUAAAAUCAUAAGACCAAAACUGGGUCAACUGCAGUGUAUACAUUCAACACUUCAGUCAUCGUGAAUUCAUGAUUAGCUGAGAUAGAAUUUUGUAGCAUUCUGUCUACUAAAAAUUAGAUUACAUGACCAUUUUGUUUCAAAAUUAAAAUCAACGCAGGCUUACCAAUACACCAGCACCUUCGCCCAUAACAAAGCCAUCUCUAUCUCUGUCCCAUGGCCUGGAAGCCGUUUUUGGAUCAUCAUUUCUCUGAGACAAGGCCCUGCAUGCAACAAACCCUCCCACCCCAACAGGAAUUAUGGCAGCUUCGGUUCCGCCAGCAAUCAUCAAAUCAGCUUCACCCCGACGAAUGUGAUUUGCAGCAGCAUAGAAGCAAUAAUUUGAAGUAGCACAAGCAGUUGAAAUGGAAUAAUUGGGUCCCAUAAAACCCAGAUCAAUAGCGAGCAACGCAGACCCCAUGUUUGUAAUAGCAUAAGGAAUGAAAAAGGGGGUAAUUUUCCUGUGACCUUUCUCUAUCAGUGCAUGAACACCAUCAGAAAAGACGGUAAGACCACCCAUUCCAGAUCCAACAAGCACCCCAGUCCGCGAUUUAUCAAGCUGUAAGUGAAGCAAAACCAACUAUUUUAGAUACUCAUUUACACUACUCAGAACACAGAAAAACAAAUCCAACAAACAUUUCUGCACUGCAUGUGUUUAAACACAACCAAAUCAAAUUAUAUACUCCGCACAUGUUAACGAUUCUUCCAUGCAUGUCCCGAAAUAAGCAAACCAUGAAAUCCCAGAUCCAUAGUUUCUAACAGAACCCAUUACUCUUACGCACAAAACUACAUCAAAUCAAUCCCAGAAAUAACCAAAUUGUUCAAAUCGGCAAAUUAGCACAUUCUGUUAAAAACCCAUCAAGCUAACGAGCAUAAUUAAACAAAUGCUUUCAAAUCAAAGAAAGCAAUGACCUAGGAGCACUUAUCGUUACACAUUCUACCGAAAGCCCCUCAAGCUAAUGAGCAUAAUUGAACAAUUAAACACAUGCAAAUAAUAAAAAAAAGCAAUGACCUUGGAGCGCUUACCUAUCUCAGAAAGAACCAAAUCAGCAGAUUAACACAUUUUGCAAAACCCCAUUAAGCUAAUUAAUAUACAGAAACCAUUAAACACGUGCAAAUGAAAGAAAGCAAUGACCUUUGAGCGCUGAUCGGCGCCAAGAUCAGCAUCCUCGAGAGCCUUCUUCCCAGCAACAAUCGAGUACCGAAGGCAAUCGUCCAGCCGUCGAUCGUUCUUCCCAUCAAUGUAUCCCUCCGAUGAGAACCCGCGGAUCUGGCCCCCGAACCGGGUCGGAAACUUGGACGCAUCAAACCGGUCAAUUGGACCCACACCGCUCUCUCCGGCGAGGAGCUUGUCGUAGUAAGUAUUGACGUCGUUGCCGAAGACGGAGACGAGGCCCAUUCCGGUGAUGACAACCCGCUUCUUCGGGUCCAUCUCGCGCUUAGGGGCGGACACGGCGGGGACGGAGGAGGCGGAUAUGAAUGAGAUUCGCCUGGAGGAGUUGGCUGUUCUGGUAGUGACAUUAGGGAAAUGGGGGGUCCGUUUCCGAAUCGGGUCGAGCGGAGCGGGCCGGAGAGUGGAGGAUUGGAGGGACUGCAUGGCGAUGAGAGAGAGAAAGUGAGUGCUUAGAGAGAAAGAGAGAGAGUGGGUGGCGACGCCAACGAUGUGAGUUACUUGGAGGAGAAUUUUGGUUUGGAUUCAACUUUUGAGCUGCCUCUAUUAUCUAUGUGAUGCCACGUCACUGUGCGUAGGAGAUGAAUAGCUGCAGCUUCAAGCCUUCAACAACUGAGAUUUUCUUUCUAUUUUAUUUUUUUCAUUUAUUUUGUUGUCAAACUUCAACAGAGAUCUUGACUCUUUGCCACUUUGGUAACUGUACCUCUCCGAUUUAUUUUCUCCUAAUCCAUCAAAUCAUUAUAUCCGUACGGUUAAAAUUUGAUCCAACGGCUGAAAUUAUUAUAAUUUUUAAAAUGGACCUCUCUGUAGUUGUUGAAUAAAAUUUCAAUGGUACAUAUCCCCUUAUUUGGUGGAUUAGAAGGAAGGGAUAUGGAGAUGAUCCAUUUCCCUGUACAUGGAUAAUGCUAGCAUCCUCACAUUGUCACGUAUUUUUUCAUCAAUAAUGUUAUUCUUACCAUAUUUUGUUCCACAAUUGUAUAUCAUUUUAGGUGGUAUCUGAUAUAGAUAACCACAUCAUCUAAAUGAAUUAGCAUUUAAUUUCAAACUGUUAAUCAAUAAUUAAUAAAAAAAUUGCUAAUUAAAUGAUGAUUGUCGUGUACGAGAGUCUUGUUCUUCCUUUCCCUAUCCCUUAUGCUUCUUCUUCCUUUCCUUUUCUUUUUCACGCCAGUUUUUUUAUUGAUUUAUGUUGAUUUCCAUGAUUAUGGUCAAGCUUUAUAGAAUUUACUUGUAUAUCACAAUCACCAUUGAUUUCUAUCUCCAACCUCAUGCCCCGUAGCCCCAAUCCUCAUUCCCCUACAAGUAUUUCUAUCUCCAAUCUUCAUUGGUACUCCGUAGUUGUUCAUCUCGUGAUUUUUUUUGUUUUCUUUUCAUACAUUUUUUUUUGUGGUUUAAAAGAAUGAUUUCACCUAAUUAUUUCAUUUAGUAAUGCCUAGUAGCUUUCAUGUGAAUUAUGAGUCAUAAUCAAAUUUGUCUAUCGGAUUAAGGUUCAUACCCAAUUAAGUUACUAACAUCAGAGGGAGAUUUUGAAGUGUGCAAUUUUCCUUAUUUAAGUGUUUUAAUUAAUAAGAAAAUUGAAAUUAAAUGAUAUAGCUUAUCCAACUCAUUUGCCACCUAAGAUGGUAAAAAAAUGUGAUAUAAAAUUAUGGUAAGAAUAAUAUUACUUUUUUUCAUUUGUGAAUAAAAUAUCUUAAUUAAAUAAAGUCGAACAUCAUGAAUUUGAAGAUUAUUCUGAUAAAAAUAAAAUCAUUCAAUUGAAGAUCGUUUAAUCAAUCAAAUGUAUCCAACAAAUUGAUCGUUGAUCAUAAAUAUGUAAAAAAGAAGGCAUACAUACAAAGUUCUUCAAGAUAAUUGGUAUUUUAUGAGAUUAUAUUAGAAGACUGUUUUUAUUUCAUGGAUAUUAUUUUUAGUUUUUCAUAACAGGGAUAUUGUGUUAAAAUUAAGUCAAUCCGAUUCCUAAACCUAAGUAUUUAUUUUAGUAUUAUUUGUGUUCACAUAUGAUUAAGAAGAAAUUGGCUUGUAUUGUUUGUUGCCGUCAACCAAAUAAUUUACAAAACAAGUUAAGUUUUGAUUUUACCUACAAAAUCAAAGACAGAAAAACAAAAUCCUUUUCCAGUUUAUAUAUAAUUAUCGUCCAAUGAGUUUUGAAUUUUAAGCUAUCAUAAAUUGUUGUGCGAAAAAUUGAAACAGACAUGAUUAAAUUGAAAUAUUUAUGCCAUUGGGUAUUACGGUUUGGUAGGAUUCCUCUUCACUUGUAAGUGAAAUGUAUUAAGUUCGAUUAUCGCUAAAGACGUAACCACAUUAAUGCUAACCAAUUAUGAGACUAAAUCCACCAUUCCCCCUUAUAAUAUCGUUUAUUUAAAAAAUGCUCCGUUUCAGUGAUUUCUAAUUUUUGUUUUAUUGUGAUUUUAAUGUUUGACGGUAGAAAUUGGGCCCAGCCUAGUUACCUUGGGCCUGAUUAAACCACACAGCCCAACUUCCUGGUGAGACUAUCACUCGUUAAGCCGUCACAUCAACCACCGUACCCCGCCAAAACGUCGUCGUCCUCUCAGAGUGCUCGCCACGGUCUAAUCAUCAGUCGUCACUGUGCCUGCCCACUUCCCACACCAACCCACUCACCCGACCCGAUUCCACGACCGACGCCAAAAGCCCCGAAGCGAAGAAACAUGGCAAAGAAAACUAGCAACUCCCAGCAGUCUCCCUCGUCUUCUUCCUCCGCCACAAAAGCUUCAACUGGGUAAUUUUCCUCUACUUUAUCUCUUUUCUCACCACAUGUUCAUCGCUGUUCGUUCAAUGCUUUCUGAAUUUUUGUUGGGUUUUUGAAAAAACCCAUGAAAUGAUAGAAUAAAAUAAAAUGGAAAAAGAAAGCAAAGAUCGUUACUUUCUGCUAUUUGGUUAAUUGGGUUGUGUUGUUUUGUGUUGAAGAAUGUGGGGAACUCCGUACUUGGAGUCUUGGACAAGAAGCUAGGUUAAGCUCAGUUGGGUGGUGGGGUUUGUUCUGUUAGUUUAAAUUUGAGAAAUUGGAAAUUGGUGAUUUUAUUACUUCUAAUUUCGUUCGGUUAUUCUUUAGCUUUGUACCCUUUUGAAUUUCGAGCAAUGCUUAGCGUAUACAGUGUAUACUUACUCUCAGGCUGCUUGCUGAGGAAUUGGGUGAUAGAAAAGAAAAAGAGGAAAUAGAAGAACUAGGAAGGGAAGGAGCUUUUCAGGGUUAUGAGUUGUGUAACUUGUGUGGCUCUGAGUUUCACUUUCAAGAAAAUGUUUAGUGAUCGUGAGAGGCUGGACUCGAUGGAGGGUUUUUAGGUCUGUUGUGCUUUUGAUGGUGUGACAUUGACGGUUGAAUUGUUUGUUUCAUUCCUUUUAUUCCCGGCCGAGGCAUCGGUGGUCGUUGAAAGAAAUUCUUCAAUCUUUUUAGGGAAAUGGUGUUGAAGGUCCAACAAAGUGAGGGGACAAGGAGGUCAACAAGGUUAAGCAGUGUAAACGCGGAGGGAAAGAGAAUCGUUUCAGUAAAGAAGUCCAAAACCAAGCAGAAGAAGAAAAGUGCAAAAGUUGAUUCCAAGAUACCCAAGAAACCGCCAACUGCUUUCUUCUAUUUCCUGUAUGUACCUCUUUUCGUUCCUGUUUAGCUUUUCAUUUAUGUUUAUUACACAUGUUUGAUUGUCAACUUGCUGUAACUGAUUAAAUUUCCAACUUGCUCAAUGAUUUUGUUGUUUGAUUGUCUUAGUCCUGCAAGAACACGUCAUCCUUUUGGAUUGCUGAAAUUGAGUAUCCAGAUAAUGAGACUGACCAACCUCAAUCACCCCAUGGCCUCAAAUUUGGAAUUUGCCCCCUCUAAUAACGAAAGAUAUAGAAACUGAAGAUCUCUCAACUAUCCAUAAUAUGAAUACUAAGAACCAGAACCAUAAUCACGACUGAUGAUGAAAAUUGAUAUUAAGUUAUUUAUCAAAUCUACAAGGUUUCAGUCAAUUUCUGAAAUUCAAUAGUUGUAACUUUCCAUAGAAAAUUUUCGGUGAAGUUUUCUAAGUAUUAGUCCCCUCAUUCUUGUUCAGUAUUCUUUGUUUUAUUUUCAUUGGUACUUCAAUCUGAAAAAAUAAAUCCACGGUUUCUUCGUUUUCAAAUUGAAUUUCCCUUACUUCUCACUACAGUUAUUUUGUCAGUGUAAGGUCAGAUUAACCAAAGCUGGUUCUUUGUUGUUCUUUAUUUUUUUUGUGAUUAAUUAUAAUGUAUGCCUCAAUGAGAACGCUAUUUAUCAAGCUCACUCUGAGCACCUUUCUCAUAUAUGAAGAACCAACCAUAAACAUCUUGAGGUUUUGCUGAGUUAAACUGGUUUUUCUUGUGUUUAAGGGAGGAUUAUCGUAAGGAACUUCAAGAGCAAAAUCCAGGUAUCAAGCAAAUGCGCGAAGUAAGUUUAUGAUACGGUAAUCCGUUUAACUUUUUGCAUGUUUUUCAUUGUUGCUCAUAUCAUCAGUUCUCUUGUAUAUGAAUAUACUUUCUGAUUCAGAUUGGAAAGGUGUGUGGAGAGAAGUGGAAAACAAUGACAUAUGAGGUUUGUGGUCUCUUUAUACUUUAGUUGGCCUUUUAUGUUUUCAUUAUAUUUUUGCUUUACUUUCUCUAAAAUUCUGUAUUGACGACCGGAUGAAGUAUGACUUUCAAAUCGUGGGUUCUAUUUAACCUAAUGUUCUGACCUAUAGUUUUGGUUAAAAUAUAUGACCCAUUUACCAGUAUGGACUUGUUUGAUGUGUAUGCAGUUGUCUUUUUUUACUUAAGCUAAUUACUAUAGUGGAUCUCAUCUCGCUUAAAUACUGACCCGCCUUGGGUUCGUGAGAUUUACAGCUAAGUGAUACUGGCUGAAUCAUGCAACGGUUCUUUCCUAAUGACUGUGCGUGGUUCUCACCAUUUGGACUAUCUUACUUGUUGAUCAUCUAGUGGCAUGAAGCUUCAAAUAAUAUUUUAGCUUUUUGACUGUUUACUAGUUUCCCUAACAAUGGUGAUUUGGCCAAAAAUAGCUUAUAGAAUUUUGUUCUUCGUUCUUUACUCUCUCUUUCUUCUUAUAUUAGGAAAAGGUUCAGUAUUAUGAUAUAGCCACGGAGAAACGAGCUGAGUUUGAGAAGGCCAUGGCAGAAUAUGCACAAAGAAAGGUAAACAUGCUUUGAAUGAUCUUUAUAGUUAAUAAGCAGAACCUUAUCUUACAAGCAAUGCCGAGUGGUGCUGAAUUGCAAUUUACUAAGCAGAUUUCGAACAUUUGCAGGAAAGUGGCGAGGAUGAAGAAACCGAGGAUGAGGAAGAGGAAGAUUGGUCUGUCUAAGAAAUCAUGUUUCCGUAUGGUGGAAGUACUCUAGUUGUAUGCAAGUCAUAGGUCCUGGUCAUGUGUCUUUUGUAAAACUGUCUAUGCCUGUAUCAUUCUUGUCCAUAUCUGUUCACAAUUCGAAUUUAGUGGUGAAUUGGGUAUGUACUUUAUUUAGUGGAAGAUGACAAGUCUAAACCUUACUAGGAACUUCUAGUUUUAGCUGUCACCGGGCAAUUGUAUCGAAUACACUCAUUGUCGCGUCAUGUUCUUGAUUCCUAACAGUUUUCGAGAAUAUAUAACUUCUUUUCCUCUCUUUCUGUUGAUUUGUUAGUGUAGUUGGCGAGAACUUCUUUCAAUUCUUGCGCAGAAUAAGAUUCGUCGAGGGCAAUCUGGUUGAACAAAAAAUGUUCUUGCACCCGAUGCUCGGGUCCAAAUCGUUCUUGUUCUGUGAAGUUCAGUUUAUGCUGCCAAGGAAAACAAGACCCAGAAAUCUGAAAGAAAACUGCUGCUCUUAUUUAUUUGGAUAUUGUUGCCAACAAUGUAUGUAUAUUGCUGCGCUAUAUGAUUACUGGAUUACAGUUUCAAAACUUGUUCUUCAGCUGCAGUGAGCCUACCAGCUGAAGCUCCUAAUGAAUUGGAAAUACUCCUCACUUCUGCAAUCAUUGCAACCACAUCAUUGAGCUUGUUCACGGCUGAGCCGAUGCCCUACAUCCGAAAAUGAUGAAACAACCAGUAAGUUAACCACACAAAAAUAGCUAGACAACAUACUUCAGUGUUGACGGAUUUGGACGGCAGGGCAAAGUGAGACGGGAAGUACGCUUAUCAGGCGCAAAGUAUCACGAAUUCAGUUUCAGAGGGUUAAAGUGAGAUUCGCGUUGAGUUUGAGAGGGUCAACAAGUAAGCUUUUGAUGAAAUGUGCAUGUUACAGAAGCAGGUUCAUGGUUUACAUACCACACCAGCAGCUCCUGCUGCUAUUGCCAUUGGGGCUGUAACUGCACUCAGUCCGGAUGAACACAUUACCGGAAUCUUGACAGCACGGGAUAUCGAAUAUGCUGCUGCCAAUGUUGGUGUUGCCUAAAACAUGAAAUACUAUCAUCAAAUGUGUCCUGGAAUAAAACUGGUUGCAUGUGUUCAAUCCCAAGUUCUUGUUUUAUAUUCUCGUUUGGUCUACUCAGGCUCGUCUGGAGCCUAAGAUUAGAUUGGAUAACUCGUAACAGUUAAGGUAUGUGUAGGUUAACUCGUAUUACCUUCUCGACCAAACCAAGAACACCUGAUUUCGAAGGACUAGUACAUUUUCCUCCUUCGGUUUGAAUGAUGUCAACACCUUCCUGCUCCAGCAUCUCUGCAAGCUUGACCUGUACAUUGAUUCAACUACCUUGGUUAAACCAAAUACAUCGUACCAACACGCAUCGAUAGUCACUUUCAGCAAUGAUUCCGACCUGAUCUGGAAGGCUUAGUGUAUGAGGUACAGUGACUGAUAAGGUCACAGAUGGAAGAAUCCUCUUGGUCUCCUUUGUCAGAUUCAAAAUCUGCAAAGGAACUCAACAGAAUACAACAAGAGAAUCCGAUUAGUACACUUAUAGCGCUAUGUUUUUCGUAAUUUGCAAGGUAACAAAUGUGGUACCACCUGCUCCGAAGUGAAAACCACUCCCAUCUCGUAAAAGGAGUCAUAGUUUCCAAUCUCAACCUGCAAAAGCCAUCAAAUUGAUCAUAUCAACACAAACCGAAAAGCGCAUAGCAAUAUUGUUCUGAAACGAUUUAGCAGUCCCUCGGAGGGAACCAGGUCACAUAAUCAAAUUCUUGGCCUGAAAUGUAUGGUACGAAAGGGGUUAGUUUGUAGUCGAACCAUCAGUGCUCCUGCUUCAACCGCAGCUGGAAAUGCCGCUGGAUCCACAGAAGAAACACAAACCUGCACAAGGAAGACAUCCUUAUACAUGCAACCUACGGUUGGAAAAUGAUGAUCACGAUACGCUUAGAAAGCAUAUGAAAAUACCGGAAGAGAAGUUAAAUCGAUAGCAAGCUUCACCAACUCCGGGUCACAGGCUAUAUCCACAUGAGUUGCUCCUCCCUAUAGAUACAAUGACACAUGACAACAUGACAUAAAAAGUUCAACAUUUGCUCGGAAAUUCGAUGAUAUUUGACACCACAAUCAAUGUGGUCUAACAUAUUCAAAUCCCUUGGUUCAAAAACAUAAUCUGUUUUUGUUUAGCGAGUUCAUCAUUAGUUCAUAACUUCAUCUAUAAACGGAGUAAGAAACAAACCUGCUCAGCGGCAGUAACGACUGAUGCAACAUUUUCUUUGUCAAAAUUCUGCAAUCCUGAAAUAAUCUGAAAAAACACAGUAACAUCAGAAUUCUUGGAUAUCAAGACAUGGUUAUUAAAUUGCAGAACCGAAAAGUAUUUUUCUUUUUAGCUUCUCCACGUUCCCCAGCAACCAAACAAAGCAAAACACGAUAAUAAUGCCACGGUACAGUCAACGGGAAGUAGGAUUCGCUUUACCUUGAGAGCUCUGCGUUCAUGAAAGUCCCUGAGGACUGAUUCCUUGGUAGCUGACAGAAGUGCUUUUGUGGUUAAAGUGGCUCUUUUUUUGAGAGCCAAACAUGGCCUUGAAGGCAGAGAGUUACCCAGAAGAGGGUUGUGGUGGGUAGGUCUGAAACUGGAUAGAGAGGGUGGUGAAGUUUGUAGGCAGAUUGAGGCCUGCAUCUCUACUCUGGCUGUAGGUUUUCAGGGGGUAGAAGUUGGAGGGAAAGGGAUAAGAGAGGUUUGGCAGUGGCAGAUAAAAUGUUUCAGAAGAAGAUAAUUUGGCUGCCACCUCAACAUAAAUACUAUGCUAUGUAAUUAUUUAUACUUAUUUAGCUUUUUAGCCUUGGCAAUGAAAACUGAUAGAUGUGAUUCUUGAGUUUGUUUACUACUCAUUCCGUGAAAAAUUUGUCAAUAUUGUUGUUAAAUAGUCAUGUGAACGAUCACGUGACCACCUUUAUAAGAGUAUUUUUGUCAAACCAACAUCUCUACUUAACGAGGAUAUUGAAAGUGUUUUCACAGAAUAACCAAAUGAUUUAUGAUAGACAAACUCAGAAUACCACUUCUAUAAAUUUUCAAUGUUAAGUACCACUUCUAUAAAUUUUCAAUGUUAAGUUCUAAAGUGAGAAGUUAAAUCAAUCUCAGUAAUAAUUUUAGCUAAAAAGCCUACAUAUGUUGUAUCAUUAUUUGUAUUUAUAGAGAUAAAAACCACAUACAUUGGUGGGCCUUAGACCAUCUCCAAAUGAAAUGUCAAAUUUUGAACAUAAAAUUUAAAUUUUGAUAGUUUAUGUGGCACUUUGACAUCUUUUAAAGUUUUUUUCUCCAACCGAUAUGUCAAAUUAAAUUAUUAUUUUAUUAUUUUAUAAAAUAAAUUAUUAAACUAAUUAAAAUUUAAUAAAUGACAUUUAAAGUUUAAUCAGUAAUCUGUUCACCUUCCUUGAUUAAAAAGAAAAAAAAAGUAGGAUAAUUGGAUCGGUCGACUCAACAUUAAUUAUAAUAACUUAUUAAACUAAUUAAAAAUUAAUAAAAAACAUUUGAAGCUGUUGUCAAACCUCUUUUGUUGUCAAUCCAUGUCAUCGCCACAUAGGAUUUAACAUUUUGGUUGGAGAAUAUUAAUCUGAUUUUUUUUUGCUGUUAUAACUGAUAUGUACAUUUUGACAUCUUCUUUGAAGAUGCUCUUACCUCUAUUAGAAAGAUAAUACAAAUAGGAGAUAAAUAUAAUAUUACUCUUUAAACGAUAGAUGGAGCCUGGAGAAGAUAUUACCAAGUUGACAGGGAAAAUUACCAUAAAAAAGAAGAGGAGAACGUGACACUCCAAUAUUUCUAUCCCUUAUCAUAUGUAAAAUUACAUAUAAUACCCUUGUAUCUUCCAAGAUAAAAUUAAUAAAACACUCUUGGUUUGCUAAUUUGGUUUUAGAAGAUUCAUUCUGUUCAAACUAAAAUGCGGCAACGGCUUGUAGCUCAAAGAAUUAAAAGUGUUUAACUUUACAUACGAAGUCCUGCGUUUAAUCUUACCCUUGCAAUGUAUAUAAAAAAAUUCUAACAUAUAAUAAUAUCAUCCGAGUAACGUUCUAUGCUAAUAAUACAUAGAUAUGUGUAGAUAAAUAAAAGUGGCACCGACAUCCGUAGUCAAGAAUUUCUCCAAUAGAGUAGGCAAUGACAUUAAAUAUGUACAAUUCAAAGUAACUUUGCAGAAUGACAAAACGAAUUUCCUGAAUUAAAUUGCAGAAAACGAAGUCAGAAUUCAUGAAGAAAACAAAGAGUUAACUGAUCAUUAACAUUGUACAUAAACAUAAUAAGCAUAUUAGCAACGCCAGCAUGACAGAACCAAUAUCCUUCCCAGAAAAAGAAAAAAAAAAACCUUAAUCCAUUUAGCCAGCAACUUGAUCUGUCAACUAUACCCUUCUUGAAGCAACAUAGAAAACCAAGUACAAAGAGAGUCGGAAGAACACCAAAAUCCUCUCAAAAAUGGCAUCCGCAAAACAAGUAGAAGAAACAGAUUCUGAGCAGCAAAACCACGGCCUCGAACGCCGCCACGAUCUUGAAAACCACAUCAUCGUAAAAGGAAAGCUGCAGAUUCAGCGGCCGGAACUUGAAGGCAGACCCCAAAUACUUCCACCUCAAACUCCACGACUCUUUCUUCAUCCUCUUAAAGAACAACCACCUCUUCUUUCCCCCACCCGCCAUCUUCUGUUUCACUCUCUCUCUCUAGAUUUCCGCCCUUCUCUGCCUUCUCCUUUCUGGUUUUUUGGUUUGGGGGAUGUGGUGGUUUUAUCUGGGGUGGGGAAAUAUUCGGUUUCUUAGAAGGCAAGUUCUCUAGAAGGUAGGGAGAUUGAGGGAAUUUUGCGGCGAGGAAAGGGUGUUUUGGGAAAGUUGAUGGGGUGUGGGGUAAGCGAUGACUGAAUUGCUCCGCGUUUUGACGGUCAAGGGGAGUAGAAGACGUGGGGGAGUGGAAUUAUGAGUUGUAUGGGUGCCUCCAGUAGAAAAUUAUACAAUCAAGACCAAUCUUAGGAAAUGUCUUCAUUCCACUCCAAGGAACCCUGGACUAAUAUAUGAUGAGCUGUUUCUUGGUGGCUUUUUUUUUUUUUCUUCUUCUUUUUUACUUUUUUUCUUUAAUAAAGUUGUGAAAAGAUGAGCAACGUCACCAUAACGGUACACCGUCACAAUGUUAUCCAGUGUCAAUAAAAUAUGCAAAAAAUUUUGUCUACACAUUAUAAUUUCAUACGAAACGCCGCAUGGCAAUAUACUAUGUCCUGUAAUUUUUUUUUAAUGUCUUAGCUCCUCUCCGUGUAUAAAAGUACAAGGAUUACGAUUUCAUUAUAAUUUCUACCGUAUACAUGAAGGAAUUGGCUACAACAUUUACAUAAAUUGAAUACAAUCAUUAUUUGAAGGUCAGAUAGUAAUUAGAUUGAAUACAUAUAAAUAUUGUAGCUGAAUCCGUAACGAAGAAAAAAACCGCAAUUACAAACCAACGUAGAUGAGUAAGGUGUGAAAAGAGAGAAAACAUAGUCGGGGACAGAAAAUUUGAGUGCAUUAAAGAAAAGGGAAAUAAAAGGAAAAUAACUUCAAUAUUCAUUUUUAAUGUAAUUAAGAAAAAAUUGAGUAGGGUAACAAUUUGGGUACCAUUUCACGUAAAUAUAACUUUCAAUAUAGCACAUGAGUUCACCUUUUUGUGAAAGUGGACUCUCUCCAAAUGCGAUAGAAGAAAGAAGUUAUUGACUUAGCUAAGUUGGACAGAGCAAUGUGCUUACCUCUUUGUACUCACAUUCGAUUCUCUUUUCCGUAGAUUAGAUGAAUUUAAAAUACAUUCUCCUAUUGUUUGUAAAACAACCAAAUGCAAUUGAAAGUUAAUUUCUGAAAAUUAGUUUAACUCAAAAAAUUUGAUGGCGAUGUUUUAUAUAGGCCUGGUAAACGAAUCUUGUUUAUUGUGUUCAUGUCAUACUCGUUAUUUUAAUGAGUUUUUAAUAGGUGACUCGUUAAUAGGUUGUGGUAUUUCGUGUCGAAUUAACAAGUAGUACAAGAAAUUGCCAGAACUAAUUUUUUAGAAAAAGAAGGGAAAAGCAGACAGAAUUACGUACACAAUUGACAAUUGGCAUGUAUGGAACUCCAUUCAGUUCGUUCUAAAGUAAUUGGGACGGUGGAGUAGGAAACAAAUUACUUGGGCGACACAUCACACAUACUGUCAUACAUGAAGUAGAUAGCUUAACUAGCUAGCCAUAUUAUUCUCUUGGGAUCUUAUACUCCCGAAAGUGAAAAAGCAAGGGAAUUUCACAGCCAUGGUAUUUGAAAUUCCCUUCAAUGAUUUUUAGCUAGAUGUGAGAGGAUUUAGAUAAACUUGAGCUUAAUUAUGAAGUUUUUGGGCAUGAAAGAUUCUUAUUUUGCUUAAUCUUUAGUUAACGAAGAAAGUUGAUGUUCUAUUAUAAAACUAAUUGACAAUAUGAGUAUAGUUCAAUUAUUUAUAAGCACAUGUAAGACUUUUUUUUUCUCCGAUGUGAGAUCCAUACUCUUAAUAAAUAGUGACACAUGUCACAUAAUAUUAGAUUCGACUCUCGUAAAUGAAGAGUUUGAUACUAAUAAUUGAUACAUUUAGCUUGAAUAUCUUACCUGUUAAUGUAAAUAUGUGGUCGUAUCAUAAAAGAAAAGUAGCUAACCACUAAUACCAUGCUGCCUAACUUGUUCUCCUAGCUAGCUAAUCCAGGAGAUCAGCAAUAUAAUAACAGGCUAGCAGUAGUUAAUUUGUAUAUUAUUUAGAUGCUCCAAAAUAAACAAAUGAAGAGUGUAGUCCAAAAUAUCUAUAAAAAAUGAAGUCAGGAAAUAGAUAGCUAGCUAGUUUGUCCAUCCCAUUGGAACUCCAGGACAUAUAAGAAAUGCUUACUCUGUUUUGCCAAAAGUUUCAACAACAAAAUAUUCCGAGUAUUCCAUGUCUAUUUCAUCUAUCGUCUGCUCAUAUGCCUGCAAUUCCGUUUAUAUUUUGAAUUAUUUGUUAUAGUUCCCACAAUUUAGGUAGCUCCACAUGUACGUUUCAUUUGCCUUUGUAGGCUUUGGUCUCCCAGUGUCUAAGGGUUGGUUUGGUAUUGCUGUGCUUUGAAAAAAAGUUGUUUGUGCUGUGUUGUGAGAAUAAACAGCUGUGAAAUAAAGCAACAGAGUAUUUGGUAAAUUGUUUUGUAAAAAUGCUUUUGAAAAAAAAAGCAGUAUUAUAGUGUUUGGUAAACUUUUAUGUAAAACAGAUGUGAAAAAGUCGGUUUUUCAAAGCUGGGUUUUGCAGCUUCUUGUUUUUGGCUUUUUUCACCCAAAACUGUGAAAAAAAGCUGAAGCUGAAUGUUUACCAAACACAAAAAUAGCUCCCAGCUUUUUUUUAUACCAGCUUUUUUUUUCAAAAUCACCUCAGUACCAAACCAAGCCUAAGACACCCAGUUUUUAAAAUAUUAGUAUGGUAAAAAUAUUGGUAUCAGUAAAAAUAUUGGUAUAUAAAUUUGUAGAAAUAUCGAUAAAAUUGAUAUCAGUUGCAUUUGAUGGAAAUGAUGGAAGUUUGCUAAAAAACUUGGAAACUUAAAAUGAAAAUUUAGGGAAUGUCAACACUAGUUUAGAAGAAGUAUAAGAGUUUCACUGAUAUUUAACCAAAAUUAAAGAUUUUCUCCGAUAAGGACUUCACCCCACCUCCUCUCCAUAUAUUUCUCUAAUUUUUCAAACACAUAAGACACCACAUUAUCAUCCGUACCAUGCAUGUUCUUUUCUAGAUUAAGGUAUCAAUUAAGAGUUUAUAUUUAAGUCUAUCUUUAUUUUGAUUUACUAUUCAUUAUAUACUUGCUUUUCGAGAUACAAAGCUACUAGGUAUCUUUUUAUUUUUCAAUGUUUUCACCAUUUACAUGGAUGAUCCAUAUCUUUUUUAUAUAUAAAGUCUUUUGUUUAUUGAUAUCUAAUUAAAUUAGACUAAGCUAUGGAUAGAAAGAUUCAAAUUUGAGAGCACCACUGGCCUAAUAGUAAAAUUUUUAUUAAUAUUUUGCAACUAUUAUAUAUAGGAAAAUUAAGCUUACUAGUCCUUUUACAAAUACACCAACAAAAAAUAGUCCUGCUUUCAACAUGCAAUCUUUACUAUUCGUCUUCGAUGAAAACAUUCGAUAUUGUGUCAAUAAGCUAUCUACCAAUAUUGUGUCGUGAAUGUAUUAAUAUUAUGUCAAUAAUAUACUAAUUUAAUUAAAGAUAUUUUUGUCAAAGAGGGCUAGGAAAGGCUGCAUUUUUACAGCAGGAUUAUCUUUGGUUGAUGGAUUUGUAAAAGGGCCACUAAGCCCAAUUUCCUUAAUAUAUGUGAGGAAGAACUAAAAACUAUAUGUUUAAAUAAUUAGCUUAACCAAAACAAAAAUGGCUUAAAUAAUUAAAAUACAUUACAAAGUGAAACAUACAAAAGUAUCUCUUGUUCGUGGUUGGAAUGUAAGGGUAUGUGUAUGUGUAUAUAUAUAUCCCACAAUUAUAUAUAUUCUCUCAAAUAUAUAUGUCCAAACCAUUACUAGGAGAGUUUUAAUGCCAUUAAUCUCCGGUAAGUAUACAACUAAUUUACAUACACCCGGGCUUAUGAGUCUUGUAAGAAAACUCAUCACGAGCUCUUAUCAAAUGAUGAGUGCUAUAGGCAUAAAGAUUUACGCACUACUAUUUUUUUAUUCAGACUUUGCGUCUGCUUAUUAUGCAGACAACACAUAUUUAUGAAGAAAUUAUAGUACGGUACAAUAGUACCACGUCACUUGUGAUACUUCCAUUCAAAAUCUGACAGCGAUAAACAGACACACACAUAGGCUUCCCUCAUCCUCAGUCUCUCCGCCGGCAAAUAGCAGCAGCAUCUGCAAUCAGCCUUGGUUUGGUUCACUGGUCGCUUGCACGUGCCGGGAAGGUUAGGGGUAAGACCCCGAAGGUCGCCAACUCUGUUUAUAAAAAUAAUUUUAUAGGCAUCAAUCUUUUCUCAAUUGAGAUUAAAAUUUACAUAGAAAGAAAAAGAUAAACAGGGGGAGACAAAGAGCAGGAGGAGAGAGAGGAAGGAAAAGAGAUGGAGAGUCCGGUGUCCAGAGGCAGGUUUUUUACUCUAUUUUCAGUUUUUUUUUUAUUUCUUAAUUUAAUUUUUUGAAAGAGACAAAAUGAAUUUCAAAUCCAAGUGUAAAAAUAAAUUACACAUGUCAAAGUAUCACAUCCACGUGGUGAUACUGUAGUAGUUAAUAAUUUCUCGUAUAAAUAAUGUUAAGGAGAUUAAAUUUACAAACUAAAUGAUAUGUCACUAAAUGAGUAAGUCCAAUAUCAAAAUAUAGAGAAAAUAAAAUAUAAUAUAUAAGAUUAUGGUUUCACUCUUAAUAACACCAAGACCUUUUGUUGAAAAGUACUAUACAUAGCAAUAGUAAAUAAGUUAGGACACUAUUGGUGUGGUUAGGAGUGAGUCAAUGACUCGUCUCUCUAAAUAUCCGACAUGGUAUCAAAGCGGGUUUGAUUGUGGGUCUUGUGGGUCCAUGUCGUGCUCGAGUUACUAGGUUUAAUGUAACACCAUGCUUUCGUGCUUAAUGUCCGAUGUGAGAUUGGUUGCACGUGUGACCACUAUGUAGUGAUCUCACGUAAGGGGACAAGUUAAAUAUAAGUCUCACAUCAAGGAAUUGAGAAAAUAAAAUACAAUAUAUGAGUGUAUGGUUUUACUUCUAAUAACACCGAAGACUUUUUGGUAAAACUCAAUACUUAAGAAUAAGUCAUUAAAUUGAGACAAUAUCAGUAUAAUUAGAAGUGAAUGAAUGAUCCGUCUCUUUAAAUAUCUGACACCCACGACACAACCCAACAAUAGAAGCACACAAAACAUUUCUUCCAACAGACAAUUGAAAAUGAUAUAAUAUAUAAGCAACCACAUAUGUCCUUCCCCCCAUUUCACAUAUUAGGAAAUUCCAUCUCAGGUACAAGCAAAAUUAAUCUACCUAACACCAGCAUCACACAAGCGCAGAAAGACAUUCAUUCCCUACAGUUUACCUAAUUAAGGUCUGUCAUUUUUAGCAACAGUAGUCAUAUCAGUCUCUCCUGUCAUUUGCCAGGAGCAGUAGCGAAGACGAUGCCUCCACCUCACUGGCUCUUUCUUUCACGGUCUCGCGCAGCGCCUCCAGCGACGCCUUCAUUUUUCGAAGAUCUGCCCGGCUCAGCUCACGAAAGCUCGGCGGUUUGCUUUUGAGUGGCAAACCCCUUGCUUUCAGUACAGCCUUGUCAAGCACAAGUCCUCUUUUCUUCUCAGCCUCCAACUGGCUGUCCAUGUCCUCCAGUUGCUGGUUAAGCCUCCCCGCUUUUUCAUCAUUCUUUGAAACCCUAAAUUUUGAUUUAGGGCACUCCUCAUUUAGAAACCUAUCUGCGAUAGACUCCACAUUCGGGUGCCCAAACGAGAAGGGCUUACCUCCCGGAGAGAAAACAAGGACGGCAAUCUCAGCGCCGCACAGGAUGGCGAGCUCGUUUGCUUUCUUGAACACGCCACUCCUGCGCUUGGAGAAGGUCACCUGCCUAGAGCUGCUAUCCUCCACCACUUUCAUCUCAAUUUUUCUCCUCCCCAUGGCUAAUGUUUUUUUUUUUGGGGGGGGGGGGGGGGAGGGGAUUUUUAUUGAAAAAUUUAUGGGGAAGUUGAUGUAAGUGAAGGAGUAUAUAUAGGGCUUGAGAUAUAAGUACCCCAAGUAAUGAUUCAAUGUUUCUAAUAUUGGUUUUUAGCCCUUAAUUUUAUGAGAAAAUUGCUGAUAUAGAAAGAUAUUAAAUUUUAUAUUAUCUUUCCUUUUUCUUUUUGAAAAUUUCCAUAUUGCCACUUUGGGUUGGCAUCAUUGAAUUCAAAUUUUGCACUCCAUAUUCUGGAAUUGAAUGAGGAAAAAAAAUUUGGAUUACAAAUUAGGUAAGCUCUCUUUUUGUAGCUAUCCAAUUGUUUGAGUUUUCCAAUAUAAAUGGCAGUUAUAACUUAAAAAGGAAAAUGAGAUGUGAAUUUUUUCAAUGACGGACACGAUAAACGCACAAUUUUUAAAAAAAUUCACGUAAUUUUGUUGUAUUAGGUCCGUUGUUUUCAUUUAAUUUAUCUAAUUCAAGAGCCAUAAAUUAAAAAAUAGGUGUAAAAAGUCAAAAAGAGUGAAAAUUAUCACAAAGUAAUAAAUUUGUUAGGUCCAUGGAUAGUGUGAUAACGCGUGGCCUCUAAACUGGCAAGGGGAAAGUCCAAUGAACAUGGUUACCAAUUACAAUUAACUUACCAUUCUUUAAUUGCCAACGAUGUUUUUCCUUAAAUGAUAUUUCCUUGACUGUCUUAUAGUUUUUGGCAGGUGUUUUAUUUUAAUUUUGUAAAUAAACAUCUCUGUUUAAUAUUUUCAUUUUAUUCUUUAUAAAAUGAUAUUAGAAGUGAAGGUUAGGAUUAAGCACCCAAUGGAUCAAAGUAAAAGGAAUGUCACUUGGCUGUACUGUAUUACUGGUUGAUCUCAUGUUUCAUCUUAGAAACUUACUUUUUAUCAACUAAAUAAUCUAACUGCAAAAGAUUUGUAACUUAAUUUGUUGGGCUAAAGGUCUUGAGUUCAGUUUCCCCUCCACUAAUAUUGGUUGUUAAAAAAAAAAAAUAGUGGUGCUUUCUCUAGUUGGUCAGAUGAGAUUGCAAUGUGUUUUAAAGUACAUAUUUUGGUAAACCUAAUAAGUCACGUGGGGACCAAUCACGUUUACAAUAUAUAUUUCUGUUUCAUGUGCUACCAAAUUAUUUGAUAAGAGAAAAUGUCACUUGAGAGCCUAGAAAUUAGACCAUGAACCAUGAUGGGUACGUUCGGUGAAAUAUUUUCGAAUUUCAAGGCAUUUAUGUAAAUAAAGAUGAAAUGGGUCAGAAAAAAGUUUAACAAGAGGAAUUAAAAUACACUACAUAUUACAAAAAGUAUGAUAGAAGAAUUUGGAAAUGAUUGCUUGAAAGAGUCAUUUAUAAAUCUCUAUACAUUAUUUUGUAAUGCUUAUACGUGCAUUUUCUAAUUCAUCUAUUCUAAAAUUUUAUGAAUUUCUUCUUUGUAUAAAACUUCAAACACGGAUCCCAAACAUCGGAAGUGAUGCCCUUGAAACUAGAGUGACAUGAGAUCAUCGAUUGCAUGUGUUGAAGUCAAGGGAAAAGAGGGCACAUAAUUAGAAACCAGUGGAAACAAGAUCGAUAUUAUGUAAUUGGUGGUGGUGGCUUGGCUUUUAACGCUAAUUCUAUUUAAAUACACAAAAUAAAUAUAUUUGUUGAUAUGUGGAUAUCCACAUAAAUGGUAUGGACAAUAAGUAUGUAACUUUUGUGUAUCUAGCUAAAAUUAUUCUAAAAACAAUAGAAGCAUAUUUGACAUUAUUUAUGCAACAAAUUGGUAUUUACUGGACUAUAUAUGCAACAAAUAAGUAUUUACUCCUUACACGCAUCAUGUCUGCAUGAUGGCCUGUUUGUGACUAUUUCUCCAAAAGAGAUUUUUCUUGAUAAUUACAGUGCUUAUGGAUCAUGCAAGCGUUUUUUGGAAAAACACAUGUGAUGAGAUGCUUUAUGGCAAAAGGCAUAUCAAAUUUUUUUGAAAAAAUGUAUCCUCUUGAAUUUUUUAUAAAAAUUACAACACUUGUCUCCAAUAAAAAUAUGUUUAGCAAGACCGCUUAUGAGCACAAGUCACAAAUGUCAAAUACAUACAUUAGUCAUUUAAUUUUGAUUAUGUUGAAAUAUGAUCAAGAAACUUCUACUCCUGGUUCAAUUACUCAUAUAACUGAAUUAAAAUGCAAGUAAUAAUUAUAAUUAAACAAAAAGUAAAUCUACAUAAACUCAUGUGGGCGCAACAAUUGAAAUUACUAAGUAAUAAAGGGGGCAUUUGGAUUUAGUAAAAUAACCCACUCAUGUGUCCUACUUUGAAAAACCCUAGCUAGCUUUAAGGAGGGUUUUUCAAAAUUAAUGGCCGUAGCCAGGAGGAAAUGCAUAAGAACCAGUCCCACUUGGAUUUGCAUAAAAGUUGAGAUUGGUUUGUUGGACAGAUCCAGAAGAGGAGGCACCAAAAAUAUUAGUACUCCUCUCCUUAAGAUGGUUGGAGAUUGUCAUGUGUAGCUCCGCCGAGGAUGCAUAGACUUGUUUGAGCUCAUCCACCCCAAGCUCAUCAAGGGGUGCACUCCACCACAGGUGCUCUCGAUUCCUCCUUCUCCUGGCUUUCCUUAGGAGCGAUUUCUGUCGCUCCCGCACAUCUUCUAACUGGUUGAUAAGCUCGUCGUACUGUUCGAUAGCCUCAGAAAUUCUCGUCUGUCGAUGAGCCUCCAUGAACUGAAUAGUGUAGUCAUCGUUUUCGGGUGGAUUUUGGUCCAGAAACCGAUUGAUGACAUUGUCGACAGAUGGAUGACCAUAUGAGAAAGGCUUGCCAGAUGGUGAGAAAACCACAAUUCCCACCUCACCGCCACAUAGUGUUAUCAUCUCGCUAGCUUUUUUGUAGACGCCGGAUCUCCGUUUCGAGAAAGAAACGAGAAGAUCCUCUUCGUUUUCGAUCCUCUUCAUCUCAAUCUUUUGCCUACCUCUAGUUUGCUUUCCCUCCAUGGCCAUUUGGAAAAUGAUGAAAGAAUUGUUUUUCUUGGUAAUUGGCUUGUAAAAAGGUUUGCUUGGUUUGUUUUUCCUUACAAUUCUUGUGCUUAUAUAGGAUGAAAAACCGCAUCUUCGGUCAUUCAAUGCUGUUGACCAACUAGAUAUGUUUUUCAAAUUGUCCUCUCCCCCCUGUUUUAGAGAAAAUUUUAAUUGUGACGGGAACACGAGUGUUACACCACGUAUUUAUAUGUAAGUAGUAGAAAAUUUUAUUUUUUAAGUAUUAACAUUUUUAACACAUAUAUCCCACCAUUUGUAUAGUGACACGUGGUGUACCACCUUGUGUGCCGAUCACAUUGAAAAAUCUCUUCAAAUUUUCUUUGUUUUGGGUUUUAACUAAUUUCCAAUUAAAUAGUCAUAUUAGUUUGUUACCAACAUUUCCCCUAAAAGCUUUUAUUUUUAGGAAAACUAAUGAAAAUAAUUUGAAAACUUUGAGUUUUAAUGAAAAUGACAAAAAAUAAAAGAUAAAAUGAAUAGUACCAAAAUUAACUUUUUAGUGUAAAAAUGUGAUUUUUCGUUAAAGUGAACAAUACCGGAAGUUUUUCGUUAAAGUUCCCUAUAUUUUUUCGAUGUAUUCCAAUAUUAUUCUAACCAGAAGUUGGACAUUUUACUCUUAAAUUAAUGUGUUAUUUGGCAAUGCAUAUGUUGGUGCCACACACCUUAGAGAAAGACUCGUCACAUGGCGCUACUGUUUCACAAUUCAACCUCAAUAAGAUUUUUUUUUUUACUUUCAAUCAUUAGCUUGCGAGAGUAAUGUCUUAACUAAUUGUUAAUAUAUUAUAUACUUUAUUAACUCCUAUAUUAAAAGUUGGAAUUUUUGUCUUUACGAAAGAGAUACAAUCACAAUAUUGUCGUGCGUUAGAUGUGCGUCCACAUUUUUGAGAUCAAAGUUAAUUAAAUCUAUAGAUAGAUGAAAUCUGAUAAAAUUUUCAUACAAUGAUAGCAUGACAACCUAAUAUAAGCAAGCGAUGGAUUGUUUUGGUGAUGAGAGUCUUAUGCUUUAACUCACAUCCUAAGUUCAAACAUUCUCCCUUUUCCUUAGGGUAAUUUACAUUAGUAAUAUUGCUUGUAUUAAAAAAAAAAAGAGUAAAUUACAAAAAACUACCUCAACUAUGGGUUGAACCACAAUCUCAUGCCUCAUGUUUUAAACAUUGCAAUGUUAUUAUACCUCAACUUAUGAAUUCGUUGUAAUGUUAUACAUUUGUUAAGUUUUUUGUUAAUUUGGCUGUUAAAUGUUGACGUAGCAGGAGUGGGGCCCACUCAUUUGCCAACUGGAAUGAAUUAAUUAAUUUACAAAAAAAAAUUAAUAAUUUGGCUGUUAAAUGAUGAUGUGGCGAAGGAGUGGGUAUCGCUCCAGCCACGUUAUCAUUUAACAACCAAAUUGAUAGAAAACUUAAUUGAGGUAUAACAUUGUAACGAAUUCAUAAGUUGAGGUAUGACAUUGCAAUGUUUAAAACAUGAGGUAUGAGAUUAUAGUUUGACCCAUUGUUAAGGUAGUUUUAUGUAAAAAAAUAGUGUGAUAGGAACAUAACACACUCUUGUUAAAUUAGUGCUACUAAAUCUAUUUACUAAAUUUGUUUGCCAAUUUGGAAAAUCGAAGAGAUAAGGCCACAUCAUUUUAUGAACAAAUUUUGAGAUGCUCUAAUAAAUAAUUGACCAUAAGAUGGUGUCAAAGUUAUUAAUGAUAAAAAAACUUACUUGUAACGAUAAUGCUAUUUAGACAUAUCAACCUUCUGCAAAGUUCUGUGACUCUGUCGAUAUAUGGUUUCAGUUAAGAUCAUUCACACGGUAUUGAUAUCCGUUUGGUUUGGACUUUUUUAGCUUAACUUCCAAGUUUGUUUUGGGAUUGUUGUUUCGGUUCUCCCAAUUGUCCAUGCAUGCAGUUGGGGGCACUCCACUUUCGAAAUUAGUGGCAGUUCCAAUCACCAGACUAUUUUUUCUUUCCAUUUCCACUGAUCAAACAAUUUGACGUUCUCAGAUUAGUGGAUUGUUAUGUCUUUCUUUCUUGCGGUUGCAGAUUUAUGAUGAAGGACGAGAACAUGCAGAUGGAAGCAGUUUAGCAGAAGAGGAGAGAAAUGAGAACCGAAAAUAAAGAACAGAUGAAGAAAAUUGUCAAGGAUCCAACCUCCAAGAAUUGAAAACGUAGACAAAGUAGGGGGUUACAACGAAAAUCAAUUGGCUGGUGGAGGCUUCGAGGGAGAGUUUGUCAACUGUGCUCUCAAUCUUAAUUUUACAUUCGAGGUUUUAUUUGACUAUGUAAUUGUUUAAUCUGUGGACUUUUCAUCUACUUGGUUCAAGCAAUUUGUUAGAAAUUAGAAUAGUUUAACACUUGUUUGUGUUCAACUGGGUCUUCAUCUUGCGAUUUAGUAUUAUAGUUUAGUAGUAUUUCUCUUCACAUGUAAGAAGAAGUCUUAGUUUCUAUUCUCGCCAAAAGCGAAUUUAAAUUACAUUAUUACUUGAACAUUACGAGGCUUAGUAUACGCCAUCAACCCUAUAGUGUAAUAUAUCGUUUGUUUAUAUAAAAAAAAAGGUCCUCAUCUUCCAUUUUUUUUUUUGGAAACUUCCUCAUCUUCCAUUUUGAUAAGUAUAUUUUUUAGCAUGACCGUAUUGUUAGGCAGGAACAAAAGCUUCUCAACAUGGCGAAAAUUAUUUCUAACUUAACUGCGAAUAAUAGGAAUACAAAAUGGAUAUGCUUAGCGGUCGUAAUAAAUAAAAGACUUUCCACAUGUGCCAGUGAUGAAAAAACUAAUGAACAAUAACGUAAAUAUAAAAGUAAUUAUCAAUCCUCAAGAAAAUUAUAUUUUAAAAUAAAAAAAAAGGGAAGACGAAGGCUAUAGCUAACCUACUUUAGCAAAACUUUACAUACCAAAAAAAAAAAUAAUUAAAAAAAAAGAAAAAGAAAAAGAAAUUAUAGCCUUUUUGUUAUAGAGGUAGAUUGUCUGUCCUUUUUUUUUUCAUAGCCUUUCCAUCAUUUCCUAUUUGUACGGUCACGGUUAAGUCACGUCAACAUUUUAUAUUCAUAUUACCUUUUGUUUUAUUAUCUUUAUUAAAAAAUUAGUAUAAAAUAUUGACGUGAUUUAACCGUGACCGCACAGAUAAAAAAGAAUAAGAAAGACAAGGGAAAGGAAAAGGGCGGGCAGACAAUCUGCCCUCUUUUGUUAUUGGUUAAAAUACCAAGUCAAACCCGUGGGAGUCAAAAAGGGCAAAAAUUAUGAUUAUGAUAUGUUGAUAAUGAUACCAUUCAUGGGAGAAUCAAAGCCGCCCGCGUGCGAGAGAUUCAGACCGUGUGGGUCCAAACUACCGAUUUACCCUCGACGUCGGGAGGUUAUUACUCCAAAUACCACCAAGAUUUUGGUCUGUGAAGUUGGAAGAUUUCGUUGUUGGGUUGUGGGGGCAACACCGCAAAAAGAUGAAAUCAAGGCUGCAUCAGAAGCAGCGCACAGAUCUGUCAUGAAGGAUACCGUCAAAGGCACAAAGGGUCCGUACGCUUCUCAGUCCCUAGACUUGCUCUUUUGCUUAACUGUCUAGUUUUUAAUUAAUCUAGAGCGAGAAAGAGUGGGUUAUUGAGGGGAGAGAGAGAGAGAGAGAGAGAGAGAGAGAGAGAGAGAGAGAGAGAGUUUGGAAGAGGAUGUUUGGAUUGAGAGAAGCGUCUUGCUUUCCAAGGGUGUUGGUGGGAGUGAAUGUGAGUCUUGCUCUGGUUGAUGGCAUUAUAGCACUUCUUGCAUUUUUUCAGGUUUGCUUCUUACUUAUAUAUUUGUUUUACAUUUGUUUUUUAGUUCAGUUUUGUGUGCAUUUGAAUUUUCCCAAUUGGGUUUUGUUUGGUGAGAUUUUAUUGUGGGAAAGACGGUCAAUGUGGGUUUUAAAGGAAUGUGCUUUUACUGUGAAACUUGAGGAAUGGGAUUGGUAGCACUUUCUGGGGUUGAAUGUUUUUGGACAAAUUUGAAAUGGCCAUUUUGUUUGAUAUUUUUUUUCUGAUUUUACUUGUCAUUUGGUUUUCUCGUUGGACUGGUAAUUGGGAUUUUGCAUAAAUAUGUGAAUGGAUUGAUUUUAGACCAACCAGUAACCAUUUUUGAUAGAAAGAAUGUGUGCUUCAGAGCAGGUAGUGACCCUUUUUGAUUCUUAGGUUCUUGCCCAGGGUAUAACUCUUCCUUUCAAUACGCAUGAACCGAUUACAAUGGGGAAAUUGGAGACAAGGAAUUAUUUUGAAUUCAACGAAUAAGAUAUAUAAUUAACUGAUACAUGAAGGAGAUCAUAUGGGAUAGUUAAAUUGUUCGAGAUCAUGUUUUGUAUAGCUAGUGUAAUGAAUACAAAUACAUGGUGCUCAAAACUUUGUCGACCAAUUGCUCUUAGCACAGGUUUGUAAGUAAUUAUACCUAUAAAUGUUCAGUGUUUUUAGAUAAAUUUAUGUUCAGGAUACUUGAAAGAUCACAUCAUGUAGCCUUACUAGUCCUCACUCUGAAGAAUAGCUAGGUUAUGAGACUUGGGCGUGACUUUAAGAUUACUGCUAAAUCCCCAUUCUCAAUCUCCGUAACUUAUUAUCCUCAAGACACAUUCUUAUGUUUUAAGUAAAUUUGGUAACAUCAAACUUUUAAAACUGGGGAAGCCCAUGAUUGGCGUCUAUGAGGUUCUUUUGUUGAAAUGAUUCUGAGUUUCUUUUCCUUGCUAUUUCAGUUAAUUAGAAUUCACUCGAGGAAUUCACAACUUGGCUGGACUCGACAAAAAGUAAGUGAUGAACCAUGCUUUACCAUUCCUUGUUGAUUUAUUUUUUUGGUCAAGAUUACUAUUCCUUAUUCAAAUUCACAUUUUAUUUCUGUUUCUUUUUGUUUGUUUGUGUAUGUUUUUUCUAUAUAUAUGCAGGUAUGUAAUACAAAUACAUACAUAUGCUUACAUACAUACCAACACAUUUAUAGGAAAACUAAUGAAAGGGGCUUGAAAACUUUGAGUUUUAAUCAAAAGGACAAAAAGGUGUUGUAAGUGAAUAGUACCAUGAGUGACAUUUUAGAGUAAAAAUGUCAUUUUCGUUAAAAGUGAACAGUACUGGGAGUGUUUCGUUAAAACUCCCGACAGUUAUACAUGUGUUUGUGCGUGCGUGCAUGCAUGAUGUAGCUAAAUUUCAAAAGAACUUGCUGGAUUUACCUAUUUGUUCUGGAUGUUGUAGUUUGACAUCGUAAGGCCUCCUAGGAAUCAGUCUUAAUGUGAAGAAUUUUGGUGACUGUUAGAGAAAUUGUGCUGUCGCUGGAUACAUUAAAGUCAUAGGUUGACAACUCCCAAGGUUGAGUCCCAUAAAAAAUUGCAUCUAUAGACAUUGUUCCUAAGAAUUUGGUAGGGAAAUUCAAUUUAGAACGGAUGCAUAUAUGAGGAGGAAAAUGAUGAAGGGGUACAUCAUACAUGUGCAUGAUGGCUAUACAGUAAUAUUUUAGUGUUUGGUGCUCCAUAAAAUGGGGGUAAGGCUAGCCGACAUUCACCUCUCCCAGACCCUGCGUAAAGCGGGAGCCUUGUGCACUGGGUACGACCUUUGGUGCUGCAUCUGCAUGAAUAUGCUCACUUGUAUGCAUGUGAAUAUGUAUAUGUACUUACGGCAUGACUAAUCGCUAUAUUGAAGCUUACUAAAGCAUGCUGGCAUUGUCUUAAUACAUACUAUUGCCUCGCUGCAGGUUUUUCAUCUGUUGAUUGGCUCUUCUAAUUUGGGUAAAAAUUGUUUAUUCCCGAUCCUGAUGCACUAUUGCCUUCUAUUCUUGUCUGAGAUCUGAUAUUCUCUUUCAAGAAUGCUUCGCCCUAAUUAUGUUGCUUAUCAAGAGCCUUGAUAUUUUGGCUCUCUUUUCCUGACUUUUGAAAUCAUUUGAUGUUCUAUGUAUGACUGAUUUUGCAACAACUUGUUGGUUCAUGAGUUUGGACUCAUAGCCAGUUGUUACACAACCAAGAUACAGAACUGAUGAUACCAUCUUAAGUAAUGAUUUUUUCCAUUAACUUAUGACUUCGACAAGCAUGUUGUAUUUACAUCUUGAUUCAAACUGAUUUAAUUUAUUUGAUCUUGUCUGUGACAGGUUGCUUAAUUUAUUUUGUAUUAACUCUUUUUGCUGCUUGCAAGGGGUGGCAAUGUUGGUCUAACUCUUGUGGUUUUACCCUCAUGGGUAUGCUUUCUCUUUCAAUACACGCCAUAUAUCUAUCUUCAGUGCUUGGUCAGAGUAUCUGAAUGGUUAAAAUGCUUUGCAGCAUUACCCGAAAUUCUGUUUUUUGCAGUGUUUCUUCUACUUUUAUCGUUCUGGUAAGUUUUCUAUUUCCUUUUCUUCUUUUUCAUUUUAAACAAUCCAAAACUUAGCUCACGAACUUUCAUGAAAAUGUCGAAAAAAGUGUAGAGAUCUUAGCUUUUUUCAUCUAUCUUGGAUACAACCUGCCUUUUAUGUUUUCGAUCAGCAGCACUGUUUUUUCCAUUCGCAAACACAGAGGUUGAGGUGGGACUAGAGAUUAAGAUGGAUGAAAUGGAAAAGUGCAUUAGGAGUAUUGUGUGACCAUAGAAUACCUGUCAAUUAAAAAGUAUAAUAGUAACAUCAUACAUUGUGCUGGGCAACUAAGCAAAAACACAACCAUGGGAUGAGGGUAACAGAAGUAUGGAUGUGAAGAUGCAUAACCAGCAUUACCUGAGAAGUAGUACAUACAUAACAAAUCAACAUCUAUUGAGACAUAUAGUGCUCCCAUAUACUUUUAUAUUAUGAAUCAGUAUUCAGCAUAUAGAUGAUCUCGUUACUUUUGUAGUUUUCUCUUUCUUUGAACAGUUUAGAAAUCCAUUGCUUAUGGAUUUGAAGGAUAUGUGGCUUUGAUAGAUCUGUGGUGUGCCUUUCCUGUUUUCUUUUCAGGCCAUUCUGUUAUAGUUAGGAUCUGUUGUUGAUUACUAAUGUCUCUAUAGUGUGUUUUUUAUGAGCCAUCAGAAAAUAGAGAUCUGGAAGUGCACUUUUACAUGAAUAAAUUAAAGAUAUAUCAACCAUUCUUUACCUGAAUAUUGCCUUUCUCAAGUUGGUACUUAUAUUGAAAAGGGUGUUUCGUUUGAGCUAUAUAUGACAUCUCUCUUUAGGGUUGACCUGUGUCAUCAGGCAGAUGAUGAGGAUGAUGAGGAUGAAGGGAGUUUUCGUGAAGCUUUGUUGGAGCGGACAUUCAGCAGACCAGAUUCAUUGGACAGAGAUAGUCAUAGGACCUGUUUUCCUCUGCGAUUUAUUCGUAUUGGAAGCCGCCAGAGAAUCGUAAUUUUGGUAUUGCCACAGUUCAAAGUUCCCUGUUAUCUACUCAUAUAUGAUCUAAUAUUAGUCCUUAGCGUUGCAUGAUUUCCCUAUGUCAUGUUUUGUGAAAUUAAUGUUAAAAUUUAUUAACUUUGAGGUUGUCUACCAGGUCACCUUGCUAGUUUUUGUUAUAAUGAUAGCAAGUGCAGUGAUAAUUUGGAUCGGGAUGGGACAAAAUCCUAUUGAUUCUGCACUGGUGGCUCGGGUAUGAACGCGUUGCUAAUUCUAGAUUGUUACAUGUGUGAUCACCUUCUAUCUUUGGUAUGCUAUAGUUCCAGUUUUGCUAUAUUUAGAUGCUAAAAGAAAUAAAGUUUUGCUGCCCCAGUUUUGUGUUCAGACCAUUAAAUAAUUCUUCGGCUUGGAACUUGGAUGCCGACUGUUAGUAAUGUAGUGGUGUUUAAAAUGUGUAUAAUUCCUUUUUGAUGAUGUAAAGAAGGUUAUCACUGUUGUGGCCGAAUAUGCAGUUUUGCAUCGUACUUAUUUCUUAUUAACGAGUAGUUAACCUGUGGUGCAAUGAAUUUUAUCAUUAUCCAGGUAUAUGUAGAUCUCUUUGCAAUAGCGAUACUAUUAUUAGGAGGAGCAUUAGCAUGUUAUGGUGAGUAACUAUCGUUUCACUCUUUUACUUGCAUUUCUUUAUGUGCAACUCCGCCCUAUUUUUAUAGGGGGAGGGGCGCGCAAUGACUAUUUUGGAGUGUCAGUAACACCUCUAUAUACUUAUCCUUCAAUCUGAAGCGUCGUUUUGCUUUGUCUUGGAUUUUCAGGGCUCCUAUUAUUCCUGAGAAUGAGAAACGUUAGAUCUGAGAGAGCUUCUUCUGAGAUGUGGAAGGUAUACUUUUAUUUUGGUCUUUGUUUUCUUGAUUUCCAUAAUCUCAUGUUGUAUAUAAUAUCAUUCAUCUGUCCGUUAAAGUAUCAGAUCAUUCGGAAAGUGUAUUGUUCGGUGAACAUAUAUCAGUGGCUUAUAGUUUAUCACUUGCUUCCGUCUUCUUUUUUGACAGGUUGCAGGUUUAGCUGUUGUUUCCGUUCUCUGUUUCGCCUCGAGUUCUUUGGUGGCUCUAUUAACUGAUAUUCCUGUACGUGCUUGAUUGUUAGCUCAAAGGUUUUUUUCGUUAUUCAGACAUCUAAGUCAGUUCAAUGACUCUCCGAAACUUGACCAUAUCGUUCUGCAGAUGCUUUACGAUUGGCAUCAACAGCGUAUGAAGGAUGCUUAUACUUCUGUUUUACUGAUUUUAUAUUAUUUCGUAGGUAGGUCGUUCUAAAUUCCUUUACUGUUCGUGGUUAGAUGAAUCCUGUCGUUUUUAGUAUCUUUACGAUGUUUAUAUUGUUUUUUCAGGUUCAUCAAUACCUUCAGCCUUUGUCUUAUGGGUCAUGAGAGAUAUACCGCCCUCUGUAACAGCUAACACACGAGAAGAACCGUCUACGUUAACCUUCAUCAGCGACAUUUCCACGACAUUACAAGAUCCUCAGAGCUGGAAUGCUGCAAUGAGCUUGCGGAACCAGGUUUGAUUUCGCCGUGGUAGCUAGACGUUACAGUAGCAGACCCAUUUGAAAUCUCGGUUUGUUUUGUCGAUAGUCGUUCAGGUUUGUGCUCACUGAGUUUGGUUUUCAGGUGCAGGUAUCAAGAACAAGCCCCGUAUAACACUCAUCCUGUAUGGAAAGUGAGUCUUACUAACGUUCCUGAGUGCGAAGCACGUCCUUGCUCGCCAAAUCUAUGGAGUGAGCUGGAAUCAAAGAACGAUAUGCCAGACAAGAAGUGCGACACUGAGAGGACGAGAUGAAGAGGGCGUCGAGUGACAUUCUUGGCCGGAGCUGGAACUUUGUGUACAGCCAUAAGUCGCCGUUGCCACGGUUUUUUGACAUUUUGGGGAUGUAAAUAGCAACCAUAUGCUAAUUGAGGGAUUCUUUCCGCUCCAAAAGUAUUUUGAUGUGCUUCAUUAAAUUUUUGUUGAAGUUGAAAUAAAAAGAUAACGGCUUUGUGUUUGUUGCGUAAAAGUAAAAAGAUUAAUCUCUCAAAGAUUCACACCGGAGAAAGUUUGUAUAAAGAAAUGCUCCGAUCAACCCAAAUCAUGAAGACUGCAACCCCAAGACUUCUCAGGAGUCAGGACUACUGAAUUAUAAGUUUAUGCAGAAAGUACGAAUUCUUAGAGAUCACUUCCAUCGAAAGCCAAUCACAAUCCACGUAUACAGUAAACCGUGACAUCAAUGGAGAAAUCACUGAAACGUAAGUUGGUGGUGGAUUAAAGAUCUAACCACAAAAGUCUAGUGUCUUGGACAAGAAUUUAUCCGCUCAAUGAUUUUAUCCGCUCAAUGAUUUAAAAGGAGCUUAUACAUCACUCAAACAGCAGCUUCAGAACAAGAUUGUCUAGUUACAGAUGGCUUACUAACAGUGUGCAUGUUCAGUAAGUGUACCUCAGGAGUCCAUAUCCUUCCCUUUGCUUUGCUCCAACGAUCCAAAGUCUUUAGGCGGCCAUAUCUAAUGACAAAGUGAUCAAACACGAGAAAUCUUUAGUACCAAACAAGAAAAUAAAACUACUAAAAGACACUUCGUUGUUCAUUUCUAUGAUACCAUACUAGUUCUACCACUGCCAGUAAAUACAUCUUCCAAUUCUUCACAGUGAAAAGCAUAACGACAAUCACUUACGCACAUCUUAUCCCUUACAAUUUUCACCAUCACUUGAUUUCUAGCUUCUAUUGGAGCUAAAUUUCAUAUACUUUCUGCAACAACAACAACAACCAAGCCUUAUCACACCAAGUGGGGUCGGCUGCAUGAAUCAUACAACGUCUCUGCGCUUGGUUUUCCGCCAUGUACUCUCCUAAAACAAAUAAUCCUACAACUCACAAAUUGAAGGGGCAUAUCUUCUUCACAAUUCCACUCAACAUGAAUUCCUUUACGCAUAGCAAGUCAAUCCGAAACCAAUCCAAACGAUGUAUAUGCACAUAAUUCAAAUCGAGCUAAAAGAAGAAAACUUUCUCACCCUCCAGAAGAUUCUGCCUUCAACAAGCCCGUAAGGAACCGGCCCGAAAUUCCUCGAAUCACGCGAGGCAUAGAUGUUGUCUCCCUCCACCCAAACAUGUCCCUUAGGAACCUAUUACCAACAACAACAUUACAAUCUCCAAAAUCCUUAAAAAAAAAAACCGAAGAACAUAAACGAAAAUGUCGAAAACCAAAAACCCAAAAUCCAAAACAAAACCAACAUUGCAAAGUUGAAAUGGAACACGAAGAUACCACUAUAGUCUCCGACCGAUCACCGUUCUUAGGGUCGACAACAUAAGUAACAGACUGACCCUCCGUUGCUAUCAAUCUCUUGGCGACGGUCUUCCGAGGAGCCUCAGGCGACCGUACCAUGACAAUAUCUCCGACACCGAUUCUGUCGAACCGGGUCGAGAUACGUUCAGCCAAGCACAAAUUAUUUCCGGCCAGGCCGAUGGUCGGGAGCAUGCUGGGACCGUAGCACUGCACACACGGAAUCACAACCCAUCCCCGUGUUUCUGUUCAUUUUUGCUCUCAGCUCAUCGAAUUUAACGUAAUUAAAAAAAAAAAAAAUCAGUUAACAGUUACCAGAGCUACGGUGAGGAGGUGCGUCUUGGUGACUUGGACGAAGCAUACGAACUUUACCAGUCUCGGACCGACGUCCCUUAUUUCUCUCCCUGUAUUUUUGAAUGCCUCCGAAGCCAGAAACUGCCUUAUGUAUCCAAACGCCAUGGGAGGAGCAGAGAGCAGAGAUGUACAGUGAGAGAGAGAGAGGGGGAGACAGAGAGAUGUCUUUUUUACUUCACUGUGUUUAGGCCUUUUGUUUUGGGCUUGGAUAUGACAAACCAGGAAAUGGGCGUUUGUAAUGGGCCUAUUUUGGAUUUUCUAAUGGGUCACCGUUUUUGGAAUGUUUUUAACUAACUGAGCGACAAGUUUUUGGAUGAGCCACCGCUUUGUGUUCGAAAACAGUGUAAAUGUAGUUGCGUCAUCUUUAUUUAUUUAUUUUAUAUGUAUGAGAUAUUACCAUAUUAGGCUAGGAGAGUAUCGAACUCAAAACUUUGAAAACAAUUUUGAUGAUAUGGCACAACGUCUGUUAAAAAUGAAGCACGUCUUAGAGGUGAGCUCGAUUGAUUCAAUAUCGAUGAACCUGGAAAAAUGUUCAAUGUUUUUAACUAACUGAAACAACUCCUUGUCGCAUCAUCAUCUUUAAGAUGCCAAAACAACUCUUAACUAUAUGGGUUACUAGUAACUUAUUCAUCAAAUAAUUAUCUCACUUUUUUAAUUUCCAUGAAAUAUCCAUUUCAUGAUGUUGUGGUCACAUUUAUUUGAUGCCAUAUAUAAGUAAAAAUGAAAUGACUAUAGAACCUCUUAUUACAUGAAGUAUGAUUGUAUAAUGACUACCAAUUCUUCUAACAAUUUACAAGUAUAUACGUAACUGAGAUAUUGGCUAACAAUUACAAGUACAAGUGUAACUGAGAAUCUGAGAUAUUGGUAGAAACUAAAAUAUGAGAUAAUUUUCAUUUUCUUAAAUUAUUUGCAAUAACAGUAAUUAGAAAAGAGAGAUGUAUAAAAAUUUUCACCCAACUGAUGUUUUUAGAUAAAUAAUUCUAACUGAAUUUUAACUUUUUUUUGUUUUUUUUGUUUUGUUGGUAGAAUAUAUUGACUGCAUAUUUUUUUUAUUUAUUCCAAAUUAAAAAAAAAUUAGAAACCAUGGUAACAAAAUGAAAAAUGUUGUAGAUUAAUACAAUCCACUGGUAACACUACCAUUAAAAAUCUUAUCAUCCUGUCCAACCUGAUGCCACCGAAACGAGUUGUCGAUAUCCAUCACAUUAUAAACUUGCUGCAGAUGAAAUUCACUUUCACCGCAAUCUUCUUUGUACCGCACUUUGUUAACACGAUAAGCUUCAACUUAUUUCUGGACUUGUUUCCAACUGCAUGAAGCACCAAACGAUUAAUAGGAAAGAACUAAAUGAUGGCUUGAAUUUUCUCUUUUAGCUUCAAGACGGUGUUGUGUUCGGCCUUUUCAAUAGAGACAUGCAUUUUUGGACGUGGGGUCUUCGUGUUGAGCUGGAUUUUAUAGGCUUGUCCUCCAUGAUCUUCACAUUGUUGUUACAAUUACUAUUAUUCGUCGGUUCAUCGAAUUCAGAUGCGACUAGGAGUUGGAUGCGAGAAUUGUUGUAGUUGUCAGUAUUCAACGUCGCAUUGGUCGUGUAGGACUUGGCUAUUGAAGACUAGGGUUUGGUUGGAAAUGGGAAUCGCUUGGGUAUUUUUGAACCUUCUCUUUGAUCUUGAGAACAGUGUCGAAAAAAAAAAAGUUAUGUUCUUUUUUUGGGACAACAGAUGAGCCUAUCGUUGACGUGGUAAAUACUUUGAAGACUUAAAACUCAGAAGAUACUCAAUUCAUGUGGAGAAUUCAGACCAAAGAGCACGCCAUUCACAUGGUAACUAGUAAUAAAAUUCAUAACAGAGAACAUAACAUUGACAUACUAAUUAGUAAUUGUAGCAGAAAAAUAAUAUCCAAAAUAACCAUUUGUAUGGGAGAUUAUUUUUGGCUUAUCUUACAAAAUUGCCGCUAUAUAGAGUAGAUGAAUACAAGCCACCUUAGUCCUUACAGACGAGUUUCAAUACAAGCAUGAAACUGAGAUAAUGGUUAGGGAAGAUAAUGCCGGUAAAAAGGGAUGGAAUUGAAGUCCUUUUGUUUAUUCAAACCCCAUAUUGUAUCGCCGCAACUCAAUGCCCGAUCGGGUUUGCAACUCAACAGAUCCUGAGUAGAAAAUCUCAUUCACCAAAAUAUAUAAAAAUCAAAAUAAACCACUAUAUCUUGUCUCUUUCUUAUUCUCCCAGUUGCUAACUGGAUCAAAUGUUAUAAUUUAUUGAUAACUGGUUGCCAAGUUAUAGUUAUAACAGUUUUCACUUUUUUCUCAAAAACACUUUUGAUUUUUUCCCAAAAUAUUGUGCUUAUAGUUAUAACAGUUUCGAUUAUAAAUAAGAUAUUUUGUUAAUUGGCCAAGUUAUAGUCAAGUAUUAUUCAUAACCUUAUGCCUCAGUCUAAGAAAUUCGGGGGCUGAUUGGAUGGUCAACCAAUCCUAACUCAGGUUAGGCUCGAGUUGUCCAAUUUUAUUUAGAGAGUCCUAAUGAAAAGGGUUCUUCAAACCAAAACUAACCUAAUAAUUUUAUUUAAUUAAAAUGACUUGCACUUCAAUGAAAGGAGGGAAACAACCCAAUUUUUGGCGUGCGUGGCUAUAAGGCAACCAGCCAGCCAAGUGGGGACCAAGGAUUGAUUAAUUUGUGCUUUUGUUAAUAUUUUAUUAUUAUUAUUAUUAUUUAUCCUAAUUAUUAAAUAAAGUUAUUAAAGUGUGUUUGGUUAAGAUUUAAAGUUUUAAAACAUUUUUCAUUAUUUUCUUUUUUAUAUUCAAACUCAAUUCUACUUUAUAUUUAAAGAAUUUUUUAAAGUUAAAUCAAAUCGCGUCAACACCAGUUAAAAUUCAAUUUGAUAAAUCACUAUCAAUCACAAUUCAAACUUCAACCACAAAAAAUGUCAAAGCCUCAACUAAAAGAAAUGCAAACGCCACUUUUAUCCAUUAUCAAAUGAAAACUUUGAAUCUUGCCAUUCUAGAACAUAUACAUAUUUUAUUUAACAUGAAGUGUGAUGACCAUGAAUGAUAUGUUCUUUUAAACCAAAUUGCAUUCUUAAUCUUUAUUGGAUGUUGCAUUCUUAAUCUAUAUUAUCAAUGGAUAUUGUACUAAUGUUAAAAAAAUUAUUAUUUACUAUGCCUUGUUGUUGAAGUUACCCACUACAUAUUUAUUAUUGCAACGAUGUAAUUUAUUUUCUACACCGUGUUGCGUGCUAUGUUGCUCUGCACUAUUAUUUAAUUUCCUCAACCAAUAAUAAAAAAUAAAAAUAAAGUCUUAUAUUAUUAUUGGCCCUUUCAUUUGUUUUCCAGUCUUUGUUUGGGUGAUGGAUUGUUUGGCGACUAAUUAGUAAGAAAUGAAUUACAAAAAAAUUUCUCAAGCAUCAUCAUCAUUUUUAAUAUUCUCAACACAACGCCAAAUGUACCUGAAACACAGGUGAUAUAUCACGUGUCAUUGUAUAAGUGGGGAAGUUUUAUUUUGUAAGUUGUUAAAUUUUUAACAUAAGUGUCUCACUACUUGUAUUCUAGUGUAUCACUUUGUGUUUUGAAAAUAUUGAAAAAUCUCCUCCAGACGUGGGGUUACUUUCCACUGACGCCCCGGUCUGGGCGUGCCAUGUGUAUUCAGAACAUAAAAUUUCUCAGUUCUUUAAUGCUAAAUCAUACCAAAACUGAAGUAGCAUCCAUAACAAAUUCAAGACUGACCCCCACAAGGGAUCUACUAAUUUCCAAGCCUUUCUUAAUAAUCUUUCUUUUUUACAAGAUAUAGAUGUAGUAAUGAUAUUUAAACACUAAAAUAUGAACGCCAAUCUCUAAUUUGAAGCAUUCCACUGUGUUUUCAGCGGUCGAUUUCACUCUCGGAAACAAGAUUUCAAGUCAGAGUCAGGAUUGUGAGGUGCGUAAGACCAGUCUCCAAAAGCUCCCUUCUGUUCAAAAGUCUAUCAGAUGAACAAUCUUCUUCCUGAUGCAAACAGAGAUUGCGUACAUUAAAUUAAGUAAUGAGUCCGACUACUAGCAUAAGAUUAAUUAAUACUUCAACGAGACAGUAAAGAAAUUUUGAAAAUUUAAGGGUAAAGCUGCACAUUUUAUCGGAUGAUACAAUAUUCUACCACUUAUGAACUCCUUGAAGAUUUUAUUUUUUGUCAAACGAUAAAUUUGUCAAAUUAGGGAGCCGAUAGGGUUUGAACCCAUGUUAUGGUGCAAAGGUCAACACUCCUCUCCACCACUGUGGUAGAGGGCCACUUGCCCUUGAAGAAGAACUCUUUUAAGUGCUAUAGAAUAUUGGCCACAUACUCUACUCCAAACUUGGCUCAACGCUUUCAUUUCUUUUCUAGUCUUUGUCUGGGUGAUGAAUUGUCAAGUGGUAAGCGAUAGUGACUAAAUUAGUAAGAAAUGAAUUGCAAAGAGUUAUCGGAAUCACCAAUUUAUGAUAAACAAAUAAAAUAAUGUUUAAUUAGAUUAAUAAUCCUAUAGUGAUAGAGUAGUUGGAAAAUAGCUCAUGAAGUAAAAAACCUAGGAUUUAAGCCCAUGUGGUGAAGUCUGUUAGAAUUUAAACCUAAAAUUAAAAAUUUCGUCAACUCUUCGUUAAUUGGUAGCAUAUGAGGCUCACAUGGGCCUAAAUCCUAAUAGACUUCACCACAUAGGCUUAAAUCCUAAUUUUUAUCACAUGUACUAUCUUCCAACUACUCUAUCCUCAUAGGACUAGCCAUAAAAUAAUGUUAUAUUCAAACUCGAAAAUAGAAAUCUGCAGCCUGCAUAUGAGUGAGGCAAACACCAACGUGGAAUACAAAUCCAAUCCAACAUUCAAGAAAACAAAAAAAAAGGGAGAGAGGGAGGGAGAAAACGGAAAUCAAAAUCGUAAAUUUGAAGAGGAAAGAAAACUUACUGCCCAAAUGGGAACGAAAAGUUACACACUCACCAUUAUUCUUGCUUUAAUCGUGGACAAAAACAGUUUUUUUAGUUAUUGUUCAAAUUCCUGCUAAACUCAUAUCGAGUAAUGCUCAUCUAAGGGGGGUGUAUUCAAUUGAGAAUGUGAGAGAUUUUAAUGGAUUUAUAAAUCCAUGGAUUUUUAUGGAGUUUAAUUGAUUUGUAGAGAUUCCAUAUAAAAUUUUGAUUCAAUUCUCUCGAAAUCUCAUGGGAAGAGGUGAGAUUUGUGGAUACUUAAAAUACACUACGAAAUCUCUCCAAUUCCCUCUAAUUCUUUAACUUUCUCAAAUUCUUUAAAAUCAAUUUCUAAUUGAAUACACUUGGAAUGUUAUAAACUUCUUUAAAAUCUUAAUUGAAUACACCUAGAUUUCUAAGGAUUUUAAUAAACUAUUUUGAAAUUCUAAUUGAAUACACCUAGAAUUUCAGAGAAUCACUUAAAAUCCUAAUUGAAUACCCCUGAAAUUAUUAAUUCCCUGAAACUCUCUCAGAAUCCUAAUUGAAUACACCCCUCUAAGAUUCUCAUUUUGAGGGUUUGUAAGGUUCCUUUUUAUUUAAACUCUUAAAUUAAUUUGACAUCAAUAACUUUAAUAUUAUUCUUGUUACACUCAAACAAAUCAUCUCAAUCCCCUCUCUUCCCUACGCAUCUCUCUCCCUUCCCCUUCCAUCUUCUUCCCCUACGCGUCAAAUGUUUUGGGCAGUUGGUUGGACGCGAGAGGCAUUCAGCCUUCUGUAUGAUGCAAAUGUUUGUUGAAUUUCAAUCACUAGGUGCCAAACUACAGAUUGUUUCUGCGUUUGCUGUUGAGCACAUCAAGGGUUUUGUUCUCAUCGAACCUGACAAGAAAUCUGAUAAUAAUGAGGUGAUCUUUCCUUGUUUAGCCAAAUACUAUUCUUAAUCUUAAUAUACUAAUAUAUGCACUGCUACUCACACGAAAAGCGUAGAUGGAGAGGGAGGGGGAGAAGGGAGAGAGGGAUUGAUUGAGAAGGUUUUUGUGAAAUUGGAGGGAGCGAAACCGUUCAGUUUGUGUUCAAUGUUUGCAUGAGCCGAAGACUCGUCAAUUACAGUGCAUACAAUCAUCUCACAAUGGUCAAGCAGACACAAUCAUGUCCUGUUGAUUUCAUUUAUUGCUAAAUUUCACUAAUACUUCCGUUCUAAUUAAACUUCUAUUGAAGCUUAGUUUUAUGAUUUAUCAAAAGGUCACUAGUUUAGCACUCAUGAAUUCAAAGUCAUAUCUUGAAGAAAGCCAUAAGUAACAGUCCCAAAUUUGAGUGUUGAAAACCUUGUGUCAAAUGUAGUCUAGUAAAAGUUUGUAUCAGAUUAAUAUGACACAGUAUAAAUGUCUUUGAAUUAAUUACGAAGGUAAGAUAUAGAAAAUAAAAUAUUACAUUUACUUCAAAAUCAAAAGAAGGGAAAUUAUUUUAAGGGAGACUUUGGAUGCGGUCCCUAGUUAUGAAUAGUCUUUGACUGAAACCUUGUUGGUUUUCAAUUUUUG
rnacentral:lncRNA from 1 species